rnacentral:lncRNA from 1 species
GUUGCUUAAAAUCAUAUGGAAUUGAACCAGUAAAAUCGUUCCCUCCAAGAUCCAAGUACUGCAGGUGCUUAAAUUUCCCCAUUGAGGAUGGGAGUUUUCCUUGCAAUCUACAGUGAUUGAGUUUGAGCGAUGACAGAGAAGAAGACAGAUUCAUAAAGAAUCGGGAACAACUAGUGACAUGUUUACCCAACUCAAAUCGAGUUCUCUAAGCUUGGUUAGGUUUCGAACAAGCUUGUCAAACGAAAUUGGUUCUAGACUUGGAUAGAAGUUAAAAGAGAGACGAAGUGAAACCAACUCAGUGAGUUGAUCAAAAUCAUAUGGAAUUGAACCAGUAAAAUCGUUCCCUCCAAGAUCCAAGUACUGCAGGUGCUUAAAUUUCCCCAUUGAGGAUGGGAGUUUUCCUUUCAAUCUACAGUAAUUGAGUUUGAACGAUGACAGAGAAGAAGACAGAUUCAUCAAGGAAUCGGGAACAACUAGUGACAUGUUUACCAAACUCAAAUCGAGUUCUCUAAGCUUGGUUAGGUUUCGAACAAGCUUGUCGAAAGAAAGCUUGUCAAAAGAAAUUGGUUCUACACUCACAUAGUCGUUCCAAGAGAGAUCAAGAGAAACCAUUUUGGAGAGGUGAGAGAUUUCUGACGGAACUUGGCCUGCAAGAUCUGAACCACUUAGGUUAAGAUGUGUUAGAUUGGAGAACUGGCCAAAUCGAGAAGAAAUAUGGGAGGAGUUGAAAUCAUUGAAAGAGAGGUCGAGCUGUUGAAGAUGAUGGAGAGAGAAGAGAGAAUUAUUGGGAAGGAGGGUGCCGUAAAGCAUGCUGCAAGAGAGGUCCAGUGCAGUGACAUGCCCGGUUUUCAGGUCACAAGUGACCCCAUCCCACAAGCAGCAGUCUGUUCCCUCUUUCCAUGACCCUGUCUUGGGAUAUUGAUCAUAUUGAUAGUUUCUAGCAAACCAGAAAGGAGAACUCUGAAUGGAGAAGGAUAGUUUGAAUUGAAGGAGAGAAAGAGAUUGGCGAUGAGCACACAAAUGAGAAGAAGAGGAGGAGUAAUUUGAGGAGAGUGGAGAUGAAAUUGUUGAAUGGAAAUGGAAGAGAAGCAGAAUGAAAGAGAGAGAUUGAGAGAGGCACGGUAGUGAAAACCCCAUGUUGGCUGGCCUUACAGGAUUCGAAAGUAUAACUGGGAAUUAAAGAUGAGAAGUAAAGAAAGGCAUUAUUAGUAGUAUUUAUAGACGAAAUCAAAGUGACUGGUUGAAGCAUUAAACAAGUUUCCUUAGCUGAAAGAGAAUCGGAGCAAAGAAAGACUAAUUUGUUCAUGAGCACAUAUUAAUUGUUAGUAUUAAAAUACCUUUUUCAGGAUUUAAUAAUUAAAAAAAAUAAAGAAAGAAUAAAAACCGAUGGAAAUAUGUAAGGUUCCUAUCAACUUGAUUCCCUGUUGACUUCAAAUUGUGCAAACUGAAUUGUUGUUUCUUGGCACCAAUGACUUCGCACUAAUAUAUAUAACGUUUCGAAUGAUCCAAAAGUCUUUUCAUUCCUUCAAUUGAUAUACUUUGAUUUUUCCUUUUUCUAUUCUAAAUAAAAAAUAAUUUAAACUAUGGAAUUAUGUAUACAUAAUUGAAAACAAAAUGAUAAUCAAAGUCAGUGAAUAUUUCACGCGAGGAGAAGUCCCUAAAUUCACUAAUACAAGUGCUAAUAAAUUGAGGUGCCGGACGUUAAUUAAAAAAAUAAGAUAGUUAAUUAUGAAAUAUUUAUAAUAAGAUAAAAAAAAAAGAUUUAUGCGAAGAUUGCUUUGCCCACUAAAAUGUAAUUUCCAAGAAAACAUCGGAAGAAAACUUGUUAAUAAUUUACGAUCGUAGUUUACUCACAGCUUAAGCAAGGGGGCAUGCAGAGUUAAAGAGUCAUCCUCACCUUCUCAUGUCCACUUCAAUCCAGUCUCCAGUCAACACGUUCUGGCAAUAGCUUUAUUGAACAGUUGCUAGAAAACUGACAAACAAUGGAGAAUUAAUGGAGGUUGAAGGUUCUUGCACUCAAUUCGAUGCUGUGGGAUUGGUCGUCCUAAAAGGUCUUUCUCUUUCAGCAUCAACAAGGGAGAACCACUCUUCAUUUGUGUAGAAAGCAGAACUACUAAUGGAAAAUUUUGAAUUGAAGGAGAGAAAGACUUAAUUUGUGUAGACUUAAGUUUGGUAUUGACGGUUCAAUCAUAACAUGGGCUAAAUCCACUCACUUGACAAGUGUUGAUCAUAAUACAAAUUAAUAAUAAUUAAUUAUGUCAUAAAUACAAUUAAAAUUAUAGAGAUUAAAUGUAUAGUUUGCAAAACUACGCACUAGGUUGAACCAUGAUUGAACCACAAUGGUAAACAUUAAUUUAUGGAAAACAUUGGUAUACUGAUUAAUUGAGUGAGAAUAAUACCUCUUUCAGGAUUUAAAAAUUAAAACAAAAAAGCAAAAUCAUGCCGCCUAAGUAGUUGUUGCUAGACUAAAGGACACCAAGGCAAAGUAAUAAUUACGCCAAGCACUAAUGACUUUGCACGACCGAAAAAAGAGUACUGAGUGUUGGAAAUUAACAUUGUUGUUAAUUAUAAUAUGAAUUAUAUAAAAAUUAUAAUUUAUGUUGUUGUCUAUUUUUUUUGUCCUCACAAAAAAAAAAAUAUAAAAUAAAACAAAAUUUUUGAAAAAAAUUAAAAUAAUAUAUCAGUAAGAAAAAAAAUACGAAUGCUAAAAAAAUAGCAAUCACUAUUUACAGAAGGUAAGGUUCCUAUCAACCUUCCUUGUUGACUCAAAAUUGUGCAAAAUCAUGCCCCCACUAAUUACGCCAAGCACUAAUGACUUUGCAUUAUUUAUCGUUUUUCACGACCCAAAAAAGAGUACUGAGCGUUGGAAACACGGCAAUAUUAAUUAAUUUCCGAAAUUACCAUUUUUGUUGAGAUCAAGUCGAUGUGAGUGAUGUGCAGCAAGUCUAUCUGCUAAUUCGAACUCUAAGAAUACGAACACGACAAUAUUGAUUUCCUAAAUGAAUUGAAUAGUGUUUCAGGGGUUGCUAAUUUUUCUUAAAUUAACUAAUCCUUUUAGUAUUAAAAGUAAUUAAAUAGUUAUUUGACAAAUUUUGAUCACGCUUAAUUCAAUAAUAUUAAAAAAAAAACACUUUUCUUGCUUAUCAAUCUUUCAAUUUAUAUACUUUGAUUUUUCCUUUAUCUAUUUUAAAUAAAAAAUAAUUUAACAAUGAAAUUAUGUAAACAAAUAAUUAAAAAAUAUGUAUACAAUAAAAAAAGAGAUUGUAAAGCCUUUACCCAUAUGGUUUCAGAAAAUAUUCAUAAUCCCUAAACCUUGUUAUUUUGAUGGAGUUGAGUGGUUAAAAAGUUAUUUUUUUCUUAUAGCAUUAAUAAAAGAUAAAUAUCUCUUACAAAACAUUAAGUGAUGAACAAAUACCCCUUGCACAAUAUUAAUGAGGGAUACAUAUAUCCAUGGCAAUGGAAAUAUAAUAAGUCUUUAGAAAACUUUUAUAUACCUAGGGAUAUAGGAAGAUGAAUAUCCUUAAUUUUAAUAUUUUAUAUUAAAAGUUACAAGAAUAAACAAACGAAACCUUGUAGCCUAUCAAAUAGCUCGGUCCCUUAGUUGACUAGCAGUGUUCAGCAUUGUGGUCGGAAAGUACUUUUGAAAAAAUUUGAAUUUUUUUAUUUUUGUUUUUACUUUAAAUUAAUAUGUUUUUAAUGUUUUUAAAUUAAUUUGAUGUGCUGAUAUCAAAAAUGAUUUUUAAAAAAUAAAAAAAAUAUUAUUUUAAUGUAUUUUGGAAUGAAAAACACUUUAAAAAACAACUGUUAUCACACUUUUAAAUACUUUUUAAAACAAGAGUGAGUGAGUGUUGGAAACGCGGCAAUAUUAAUUAAUUUAUGGAAAACAUGGAUAUAUAUAGACAACGAAGUUAGAGAAUCAAAAUUUUCAGAUAAAGCCUUAAUUAAUGAAAUUAAGUUAGAUCUUCUCCGAUGUGCCAUUUAAUCGGAGUAAAGAAAGACUAAUUUGUUCAUGAGCACAUAAUUGUUAGUAUUAAAAACGCAACAGAAACAUAAUAUGACUUUGCACGCAUAAAGUAAAAAUAAAAUUGUGCAGAAUAAUGUCCCACUAAUUAAUUGUUGUUGUCUAGACGGAUGGAAACCAAGGCAAUGGAGCACUAAUGACUUUGCACACUAAGUAAAAAUAUAUUGUUUUUCACGACCCAAAAAGUCUUUUUUAAUUAUCCAAGAGUUCCUAUCAACUUUUCCUGUGUACUUGGUUGGUAAUGUGAAAGAUCAGUGUAUUUUUAUUAAAUAUUUUUUUUAUUAUAAAUAUAUUAAAAUGAUAUUAUUUUUUUACAUUAACACAUCACAAUUAUAAAAAAAAUCAUUUAAAAAAAUUAACUUAAUAUUUUUUUAGAUAAAAAAAACAAGAUUAAGUAACCAAUAAAUUCGUUCAGUGAAUAUAUUGCAAUGAAAUUACUACUGGAAAACAGACAAAUUAAGAAGAUUGGAGUUUCUUUCUCAGCAUCAACCAAUCUUCAUUUGGUCUUCAUCACCCUACCUUUGAACCUUCUAAAAAACCAUACUUAGGCUCAAAAUUAAUUUUUCAAAAUGUGAUGGGCAGCAAGUCUAUGAGUUUGUAGAUACAUUUGUGCUCAUUCUUUGCAGCUCGUCUGAUGGGAAUUGUAUGUUCUUGGGGACUUUUACCCUUCUAUGCCUUGUUGGCUUACAAUCUUAAUAUUGAUAAGAAUCUCUAAUUAUGCUCCAGGAAUCAAUCUAGAAUUUUAGUAAAUUUUUAAGAGUCAAAUUAUAAUUUUAUCAAAUUGAAAAACCAAAAUAAACAUAUCAUAAAUUUAUAACUACAUUAGAAUUUUGCUCAUAAUUUAUCUUUAAUUUUAUCGUGGAAUCUUGGAUUAUGCUCUGGCAAUCAAUCUGUAAUUUUUUUAAACUUCAGGAAUUAAACUGUAUUUAAGGGAAGCUUAAGGAAGCUGACUUUUUUUAAUUUUUCUCACUGCUGAGAGGAGCAUUAAGGAAGCUUUAUGCAUGGAGUGCGAAACAUCCAUGUAUAGCUGAGUGCUGACCGACCACAUUUUAAACAUAAGACCAUCAAAUAGGUACUUUGGUUUACUAAGUCUCUUUUGAAUUGGGGUCAGAAGUUGAUUUUUAAAAUAUUUUUUAUUUAAAAUAUAUUAAAUAAUAUAUAUUUUUAUUUUUAAAUUUUUUUUCACAUCAGCAUUUCAAAACCAUUCAAAAAUAUUAAAAAAGUUUAAUUUAAAACAAAAAAAUAUUUCGAUUUUAAAAAAAACAUGGUUGGACGCAAUAUCAAAUACACCUAUCAAUAAGAGUUAGUGUUGAAAAUAUAGCAAUAUUAAUUUAUGGAAAUCAUUGAUAUACUGAUAAAUUGAGUGAGAAUAAUACCUCUUUCAGGAUUUAAAAAUUAAAACAAAAAAGCAAAAAUAAAAAACUGCAAUAUGUAUUCCCAUCACUAUUUACAGAAAGUAAGGCUCCAUGACCCGAAAGUCUUCAUUGACGAGACUAUGUAUAGGAACGACAGUAUUUGAUUUCCUAAUUACUGUUUACGGGUUGCUGAUUUUUCUUAAAUUAAUUCAUUCUCGUAGUGUUAAAAAUAAUUAAAUAGUUAUUUGACAAAUCUUGAUCAUGUUUAAUUUAGUAAUAUUUUGUUUUUUUUUAAAUACUUCUCUUUCUUAUCAAUCUUUCAAUUUAUAUACUUUGAUUUUCUCUUUUUUCUAUUUUAAAUAAAAAAAUAGAUAAAAAUUAUAGUAUGAAAUAGAUAAAAAUUAUAAGUUAUAAAUCCAAUUAAAAAUAUAGCAAUUAAAUGUUUAGUUUAUAAAACCACUAGCACUAAGUUAUCAUUAUCCCAAAAUAAAAAGAAAUUUAUGUAAAUGUCAAUUGCAACUCGCAUGCGGUUCCAGCUUAACCUAAAUAUAAAAAAAAAUUCAACUCGCACAAUCACAAAUAACUAGUUUUUCAGCAUCAAAAUACAAUUCACAUAAGCAACAUAUAACAUAUUCAAUCGUAAAUAAAAAAUUUAGAUUAACAAUUAACACAACAUAAUAUUUUAUAAAAAAAAUUAAAUUAACUAUACAUCUAUUUAUAAUUUUCACAACAUAUAAUAACAUAUACUAUAUCUAAUAAUCUAUCUAGCUCAUAGAAGGGUUUUGAGAACUUAAAAUUAAAAAUGAGUGGAGGCUAGUUUUUUAAUUAUUUUUUUAGCUGUGUUACUUUACCCUUUAUUUUAAUGUGUCAAAAAACAAAAAAAUCUCCAAUAAUUGAACUUUAGUUUUCGUAUAAUGACCGGCUGUAAUUUGGUCAAAAGAAUAUUUAAAGAAAACAGCCUUUUCCUCGACGUUUGAAUUGGAGCCGAGAAGGACCGAUGAUUAAAUUGUUGGAUUAAAGUGCAAGGGAAACAUAAUGGAAAUGAGAAAUUGAGUGAGGGAUAAUGAAUAAACAAUAAAGUAGUUCGUAGACUUAGCUUUCUUGACUCAAAACUCAGCAAGACCACAAAUUAUAUGUAAGCAAAAUAAUGCAGCCCUAAUGACUUUGCCUAUUAUAUCUAUAUUUUCAUGGUCCAAAAGUCUUCAUUGACUAGGAUUGGGAACACCACUGUAUUGAUUUACAUCAUAGUUAAUUGGUGUUUCUUAUCAUGAAGAAAAUUAAUUAAUCAUAUUAAAAAUAAUUAUAUAUAUAGUCAUUUGACAAGUGUUGAUUAAUUAAUCAAAUAAUCGAGAAUAUAUAAUUAAGUCAUGAAUACAAUUAAAAUUAUAGAGAAACAAAAUAUUAAGAUUUUAGAAGAAAGAGUGAAUUAAAAGAGAAGAAUUAAAUGCCAAUAACAGUUCAAUCCUUGGAGAGGAUAAUGCAUUAAUUGAGAUUAAGUCUCGUCCUUGGAUGAUCUGAGGAUGCAAAACCCGUAUUGGUCUGGUGUGUUUAGAGAAAUUCAGACCGAUAAUGAAUCUAAUCAAAUUAGAAUUUGAAGAUAUAAUUUACAAAAGGGUCUAAAACAAGAACUCUAAUCAUAUUUUAUUACUAAUAAGUUACUCUACAUUGUUUAAAAAGGAUUACAAUCCUUUUUCUAGAAUCUAUUAGCAAAACUUGAGUGUUAUCCAGCUAUCAGAUCAAAAAAUAUCUCUUUUUCCAUCAGAUAAUCGGUUUGGCAAGAAUAUAAAUAUAUUUAUUAGGCCUUUUACUUGAUUUAGUUAUAAUAAAUCUGUAUCCCAUUGAUCAUAAUCACUAUCUGAUUUAUCAGAAUCUCCGGCAUUAGAAAUUUAACGAGUUCUCCUAGAUGUUGACCCCAAUAUGUGAGCAGUAGAGUUCAUUUCAUCAAAUUAUAAAGAACGGUGAAAAUAAUUGAUUUAGGUUUUGUUAUACAUGGAUUUAUACUCCUAGAUGUUGCCUUUUAUUUUAUUCUUAUAUUUUCUGCAAUGGUUUUACAGUCUCCAGCUUAGUGAACUUCCUUGUCCGUUUAUAUCUCUGAUUUACCCCUAAACUUCAAAGCCUUAUGUUCUGGAAAACCUUGAUGGGGUGUGUAUUUUCGGGCCUUUGCCUGAUAGAACAUGAUCAACAAAUACAAUGAUCUAUUUGGCUUUCCUAAUUAGUUGGCGUUUGCUGGCUGGCUACCUCUUUGUAUUAAUUUUGGAGCAAUCAUGUAGGUUAGAUACAUCCAUUUAUUGAUAAAUCUUUUCCAAAAGAUGCAGACGCUAACAAUCUUUCAGAAACUACCUAAUAAUGCAGAGUAAAAAAAACUCAGGAACAAGAAAAAAUUGAAAGAAAGAUAUAUUCAGGAACAAGAAAAAAACCCUUGUGCCAUAUACCCUGCCCUCUCCUCAGCAUACCAUUCAUUGAAUACCCAACCCACUGUUAGAGCCUUCUAUUCUAGAUGUGAAUCUUCAGUUCAUGGCAGUCCCAAGACUGAAACACCCUGCCCCCGUGGUGUUUAUCCAUUGUUGAACCUCUUGUUGACACAACCAUAGCCAUAAGACCUCGUGUACUGGUCUUCAACCCAAGUAAAUACAGCUGGGAAGACUGACCGGCUCAGUUGGACACAUAUUAAGAAGUCCCCAACAUAAAAGGGGACUGAGAUUGCAGAACCUAUCGCUUGAAUAGCAGAAUUGAACUAUAUGGAUAGGAAAAAAGGACCAACAUAGCUCAAAUUCACUGAAUAGAGCGCGGAUGGAAGCUGUCAAUCAACAAGAAAAGUUGCAAGAAAUUUAAAAAACCUAACAUGAGAGAAAAAGCAGAACAUGAUAUCAUAGGAGGGGAAAAAGCAGCAAAAAAGAAUGACAUCAUAAGAGGAAAAACAGCUGAAUUUCUAAACAGAAAACACAGCGAAAUCCAAGGGAAAUGGGAACGGGUCAAUACUAGACACCACAUGAACAGAAGUUUCGAUCUAAUAUAAACUGAAUAGUGAUUACAAAAUUCUUUUUUCUCAUCCCUGUAAGUUUGGACGCCAACAUAGUAGUGGCUCUGAUUUUCCAUAAAUUAAGAACUCAUACAAGCAUGUUAAUACAUCUCAUUAGUUUGAGUUCACUUGAUCUCAAAUUCUGUAUCUUGCCCCUUCAGCAUGCCUGAAACCAUAGAAGGCAUGGCAUGAUCCACAUUUCCCAGCCGCACAAUUGCUUCAUGGACAGUCAGAGGUGGCAUGUCAAAGUACUUUGUGUGAACAGCCUGAAAAUGGUGUAGAUAAUGAGUCUAUGACAGACAAGAAUAAUAUGUCCAGGUGGGCAAUGGUUUACCUAGCCAAAAGCAUGCAUCAAACUUAAAGCUGGUAAGCCAUGAUUUCGAAAGAUGAAGAUGGUAAUACAUUUUCCUUGUGCAACAGUCCAUAAGUAUCUAGCUAAGAGAACCGACAUGGUAUUCACAAUAGUUCACAAGUUAUAAUGCUAAAAAAUUAUAUGCAAAUUACAUGCGCCGUAGUGAUCACCAAAUGGUGCAAUGGGGGAAAGCCCUUGUUGGGAGUAGAACUAUUCACUACAGGUCUAUAUUAAUGAACUCACAGGAAUACAUAAGACUCACAUUCGAUGAUAUGAAGCUAUGGAUAGUAACUAAAUGCAUAUAAAACAACUAAGACAACAUAAAUAAUAAACCGCGAACAAAAAUGUUAAAGAGCCCUAUCUCAUCAAGAUUGUCGUCAUCUUUUCGCUGUGAAACUGUAUCUGCAUCAUUCUCUACCUCUUGUGACAUGCAUUGGCUCCCUAACCUUCAACUUAUUAAAUCCUUUCAUGUGUCUACCAUGAUCGGACUCCUUGUCCUUAAUCUUCCUCAACUUGUUGAAUAGUUGACGACACCAAAUCAAUACUUGCUUAGAUUUCUCAGCAUCUUCCUCUGCCCUCACCACCCCAUGACUUUUAGUAAACACAGUAACCCAAAAUCACAAAAAAUCUAAAAUUGAAUUCAUAAUUUGAAGGAUACCUUUCUAAUCCUUGGGCCUUUCCCCAUCUCUCCACCUCUAAAACACAACCUUACAUCAACUGCCCGUCCAAGAUGACAAUGUUUCUGAAUUGCCUGUCCUACUUUGAUCUUUGUGGAAUUCACCAAAGAAGAAGCUAGUGAAGUAGCAGGAGUUGUUGAUGAUAAUGGCUUGUUUGCAACGAACCUAAGAGAGAAGCCGUUGGCAAAUUUUCUUAUGAGGGUUGUUUGGAUUGCUGGAAAAUGAAGGAAAAUAAUGGGGUUUUUAAAGAGGUAUCUAUUAACAAGACAAAUGGACAAGGACACGUCAGCUAAUUGAUUCAGUUGGGCCCCACUUUAUGUGGGAUGAAUCUUUAUCUGCCAAGUUCACAUUCAAUUUGUGGGAAACAUAAGACAUUAGCCAAAAAUCUAUAAGAUAAUUAUAAAUUAAGUUUAAGAACAAAUAAUUUCAUCAAUUAUAUCCAAAGUAUUCCGGAGGUUUCUCAAUUGGAUCCUUCCAUCCAUUUCUCUCAAUUUACAUGUAGAGUCUUUAAAGUGGGGGUCACCUUCUCAUCGAUGGCUCACCAACUGUCGCACGUCGGAAAACACCCGCGCGGCGUCCCCGUCCUGGCGAUGACGGUUUUUUCUCUCUGUUAUUGGAAUUGAUUUUGUUAGGAGUCGCCACCUAGUAUUUAAUUGAGGGUUACUAGGAAACCCAGGUUGACUGGUCUUAUCAGAGAUUCACGGGUAAGGGACUGAUUGUGGUUAGGGAAGGUAUUAGCACCCCUAACGCACCCUACCUGAGGUAAGCUGCUUCGUGGUUGUGAUGUGUUAAAGAAGUUUUAAAAAUUGUCUUUUCGUCGGAAUUUAGAAAUACAACUUUCGUACAAGUUUGUACUUCUACACCGAGAUCCGAUCAAAAUAUUAAAUCCUUCUUUAUGCUUUGCCGUCUCGUUGUAAAAAGAUACCUGAAAUAAAUACAAACAUGCAUUUUUUUUGUUUUCUUUCUUGCCUUUUUUAUUUUUUAUAACAUAAUAAAAAACAAGCACAAACACACAUUUUUUAUUAUAUUAUAUUUUUUUCUUUUUUUUUUCCUUUUUUUUCUUCUUUUUUCUUUUUUUCUUUUUUUUUACAUCCUAAAUACAAAUUACAAUAUUCAAAAAUAAAUAAAAAAUACAUCAAAUAAUCCAAAAUUUACAAAACAGUCCUAGAACAGUCUGAAAUUGCAAGGGAACCCUUCUGCACAGGAAUUGGAGACAGGAACAGCUGGCGGCGCGUGUUCCAACGCGCCACCGUCACUGGCGGCGCGUGAGCCCACGCGCCGCCGCUGAUGGAGACCAAAAAUCAGUGGAUCGGGCCUGUCUUCCUCCACCGGCGGUGAGAGUCACCGUCACCUGCAACAGCAAGAAAAAACACACACAAAGCAAUCGGUUUUAGUUGUUCUUCAUUUUUUCUGUGCUGCUCUUUUUCUCCGUUUUGGGGCAGAUCCGUUCGUUUCUUUUCCUUUCCUAAUCUCCUCUGUUUCGCCGCUGGGCUGGAGAAAGGAGUUGUUGGGCGGUUGGCAGGAGAGGAAGAAGACAGCGGGGGCUGCCGCUGCGCUUGGUGGAGGAGCUGGAGACGGCGCCGAAGGAGAUGAUGAAGGCUGUUGUUGGCAGCGGUGGUUGGCCUUGUUGCUGAGUGCUGCUGCCGAUGCUCUUGGUGGAGGAGAUGGAGCGCCGGCUGGAGUGGGGCUUGCUGGAGCUGGAUCGGAGUGGGAGGAGCUGCUACAGGUGUGGGUUUCUCCAGGUGUGGCCGGCGGUUCUUGAUGGAGGCGACGAGGUGGCCGGCUAUGUAGCAGCUGUGGCUUGGAGAGAGUCCGGCUGGAAGAAAAGGGAAGGGAUGAUGGCGCCGGUUUGAGGGAAAAAUGGAAGGGGAGAGGCCUUGGUCGGGUGUGUGUGUUGGUUUGAGAAAAGAAGAUGAUGGUGGAACCGGCUGCGAAAUUGGAGGUUUGUGCAGGCGGCUGAAGAGAAAACAAAACCGAAAAUCCAACAAAGAAACAGGGGGGGCGGCGGCUGCCCUGGAAGAGAAGAAGAUUAGGUUUUUUUUUUAGGGUUAGGUUUGUUCUUCUUUUUUUGUUGUCAAAAAUGCCCCCCUUGCUUAGCUGAAAAUGAAGGCUAUUUAUAGGCAAAAUAGUUUUUUCGGGCUUCAAAAUUGGUCCCUCAAGUUUUGUGUUUGGCCCCCUAAUUUCAAUCAAUUCACUUGGUAAAAAUUAAAUUGGGUCUCUUAAAAUUCUGAUUUUUUAAUUAAGUCCAAAUUAAGCCCCCAAACUUAAUUUUUCACCAAUUAAGCCCUCAAAUUAAUUUGACCCGCUUAAAGUAUAAUUAAGUCCUUGCACUUAAUUAAAUCCUUCAAUUGGACCCAAAUUAAUUCUUGAACAUAAUUAAAAUUCAAUUUGGCCCAUGAUUAAAUCAAAUUGGCCCAUUGAAAAUUUAAUUAUGUCAUUGGACUUAAUUCUUAUGCAAAUUCGUCCAAUAAUCAUUUAAUUUGACCUUUGAAUUUGCAUUUUUUCUAUUUUUGGGCGUAACAGCGUACACUUGGGCCUUGAGAUUCUUCCGAAAAUUGCAUCUUGAUUUUCGCCUAUUUUGCAGCCUUUCUUGGUCGGCUUUCUCCGCAUUUCCAGCCUUUAUUAUAUUUUUUAUUUUUUAUUUUUUUGGGAAAAAAAAUGAAUUUUGGGGAAUCACCCAAAAUUGGGUGAUGACAGUUGCCCCCCUCUUUACAAUGCUUACGGUAGAAAGUCUCGUAAGAGACUUUAGAUAGUAAGCGUUGUAAAGAAGAAAAAAAAGGAUGAGAUAUGAUUGACUCAUCUUGUUGAGGAAUGAUGAAUCCUCAGGAGGGCUAGGAAGCACACUCGGAGUAAAAACUGGAAGAGUUUUUGAAAAUUCAAAGAUUUUGCAAUGGUCGAACUGUCAUGGGUGACCUACCCGAUGAAAUUUUUUUGAGGUGGUCUCAUUGUAAAGGGUGACCUACCUAGGUGAAAAACACGAAGAUUUUAAAGUGGUGAAAAAUACAGAGAUUUUUCAAGGUGGUGAAAAUGCAAAGAUUUUCCAAAGGGGUGAAAAAUACAGAGAUUUUUCAAAGUGAGGAAAAAUACAAAGAUUUUUCAGAAGGAAGGAAAAAUACAGAGAUUUUUCAAAGGUGGUCUUGUUGUAAUGAGCGACUUGCCCGGGUGAAAAAUGAAAAGAGUUUUCAAAGCGGUGAAAAAUACAAAGAUUUUUCAAAGCGGUGAAAAAUACAAAGAUUUUUCAAAGUGAGGAAAAAUACAAAGAUUUUUCAAAAAGGGUGAAAAAUACAGAGAUUUUUCAAAGUGUUUUCAUGGGAAAAAUUUGAAGGUGGUGAGAAACGCAAGGAUUUCUCAAAAAUGGUUUUAUUGUUAUGGGCAACCGGCCCAAAUGGAAGAUGAAAAGUGUUUUGAAAGAGGUCUGAUUACAAUGGGUGACCUACCCGGGCAAGAAGACAAAAUGUCUGAAAAGGAUGACAUGAUAGGACUCGAUGGGGAACAAGGGCUGAAGAGCGCACUCGAAAGGAGGUAGGGUUAGAAAAACACGCUACCUAAGGUGGUUGUUGGCCCUAAGGCGUACUAAGAAGGAGGCAGGGUUGGAAAACGCAUUACCUAAAGUGGUUGAUGGCUCGAAGGCGCCCUAAAAAAGGAGGCAGGGUUAGAAAAACACACUACCUAAGGUGGUCGUUGGCCCUAAGGCGCACUUAAAAAGAGGCAGGGUUCGAAAACGCAUUACCUAAAGUGGUUGGUGGCUCGAAGACGUACUAAAGAAAGAGGCAGGGUUGGAAAACACACUACCUAAGAGGUUCGUGGCUCGAAGAGGCACUAAAAAAGGAGGCAGGGUUAGAAAACACACUACCUAAGGUGGUUGAUGGCUCGAAGGCGCACUAAAAAGGAGGCAGGGUUAGGAAAACACACUACCUAAGGUGGUCGUUGGCCCUAAGGCGCACUUAAAAAGAGGCAGGGUUCGAAAACGCAUUACCUAAAGUGGUUAAUGGCUCUAAGGCGCACUAAAAAGGAGACAGGGUUAGGAAACACACUACCUAAGAUAGUUGGUGGCUCGAAGAAGCACCAAAAAGGGAGGCAGGGUUGGAAAACACACUACCUAAGGUGGUUGAGGGCUCUAAGGCGCACUAAAAAAAAAGAGGCAGGGUUGGAAAACACACUACCUAAGGUGGUUGAUGGCUCGGAGGCGCACUAAAAAGGAGGCAGGGUUAGAAAACACACUACCUACGAGGGUUGGUGGUCCUAAGGCGCACUUAAAAAGAGAAGGCAGGGUUGGAAAACACACUACCUAAGAUGUGAUUAAUGGCUCUAAGGUGCACUAAAAAGGAGGCAGGGUUAGGAAACACACUACCUAAGAUAGUUGGUGGCUCGAAGAAGCACCAAAAAAGGAGGUAGGGUUAGGAAACACACUACCUAAGGUGGUUGUUGGCUCGAAGGCGCACUAAAAAAGGAGGCAGGGUUAGAAAACACACUACCUAAGAUGGUUGGUGGCCCUAAGGCGCACUAAAAAGGAGGCAAGGUUAGAAAACACACUACCUAAGGUGGUCGUUGGCCCUAAGGCGCACUUAAAAAGAGGCAGGGUUCGAAAACACAUUACCUAAAGUGGUUGGUGGCUCGAAGGCGCACUAAAGAAGGAGGCAGGGUUGGAAAACACCCUACCUAAGAGGUUGGUGGCUCGAAGAGGCACUAAAAAAGGAGGUAGGGUUAGGAAACACACUACCUAAGGUGGUUGUUGGCUCGAAGGCGCACUAAAAAAGGAGGCAGGGUUAGCAAACACACUACCUAAGAUGGUUGGUGGCCCUAAGGCGCACUAAAAAGGAGGCAGGGUUAGAAAACACACUACCUAAGAUGGUUGGUGGCCCUAAGGCGCACUAAAAAGGAGGCAGGGUUAGAAAACGCAUUACCUAAAGUGGUUGGUGGCUCGAAGACGCACUAAAGAAGGAGGCAGGGUUGGAAAACACACUACCUAAGAGGUUCGUGGCUCGAAGAGGCACUAAAAAAGGAGGCAGGGUUAGAAAACACACUACCUAAGGUGGUUGAUGGCUCGAAGGCGCACUAAAAAGGAGGCAGGGUUAGGAAACACACUACCUAAGAUAGUUGGUGGCUCGAAGAAGCACCAAAAAAGGAGGUAGGGUUAGGAAACACACUACCUAAGGUGGUCGAUGGCCCUAAGGCGCACUCAAAAAGGAGGCAGGGUUGGAAAACACACUACCUAAGGUGUGAGGGCUCGAAGGCCCACUAAAAAAGAAGAUAGAUAGGGCUAGAAAGCAUUCUAUCUAAGGUGUGAGGGCUCGAAGGCCCACUUAAAAGGAUAGAUAGGGCUAGAAAGCCCACUAUCUAAGAUGUGAGGGCUCGAAAGCCCACUCAAAAAUGGAGGUAGAUAGGGCUAGAAAGCAUACUAUCUAAAUGGUGAGGGCUUGAAAGCCCACUAAAAAAUGGAGGCAGGGUUAGAAAACACACUACCUAAGGUGUGAGGGCUCGAAGGCUCACUCAAAAAGAAGGUAGAUAGGGCUAGAAAGCAUACUAUCUAAGUUGUGAGGGCUCGAAAGCCCACUAAAAAGGGAGGCAGGGUUAGAAAACACACUACCUAAAGUGUGAGGGCUCGAAGGCCCACUAAAAAAAAAGGUAGAUAGGGCUUGAAAGCACACUACCUAAGAUGUGAGGGCUCGAAAGCCCACUCAAAAAAGGAGGCAGGGUUAGAAAACACACUACCUAAGGUGUGAGGGCUCGAAGGCCCACUAAAAAGGGAGGCAGGGUUAGAAAACACUCUACCUAAGGUGUGAGGGCUCGAAGGCCCACUAAAAAGGGAGGCAGGGUUAGAAAACACUCUACCUAAGGUGUGAGGGCUCGAAGGCCCACUCAAAAAGGGAGGCAGGGUUAGAAAACACUCUACCUAAGGUGUGAGGGCUCGAAGGCCCACUAAAAAGGGAGGCAGGGUUAGAAAACACUCUACCUAUGGUGUGAGGGCUCGAAGGCCCACUAAAAAGGGAGGCAGGGUUAGAAAACACUCUACCUAAGGUGUGAGGGCUCGAAGGCCCACUCAAAAAUGGAGGCAGGGUUAGAAAACACUCUACCUAAGGUGUGAGGGCUCGUAGGCCCACUAAAAAGGGAGGCAGGGUUAGAAAACACUCUACCUAAGGUGUGAGGGCUCGUAGGCCCACUAAAAAAGAGGCAUGGUUAGAAAACACACUACCUAAGGUGUGAGGGCUCGUAGGCCCACUAAAAAAAGAGGCAUGGUUAGAAAACACACUACCUAAGGUGUGAGGGCUCGAAGGCCCACUUAAAAAGAAGGUAGAUAGGGCUAGAAAGCAUACUAUCUAAAAUGUGAGGGCUCGAAAGCCCACUCAAAAAAGGAGGUAGAUAGGGCUAGAAAGCCCACUAUCAAAAUGGUGAGGGCUUGAAAGCCCACUCAAAAAUGGAGGUGAUGGUGAGACACUAUGUCAAGGAUGAAAGCGAUGUAUCAUGAUCAAUAUGCAUGUAUACUUACCUGAGAAAUGUAGGUCCCCUUUCUUCAUGGAGUUCCCUUUUCUACAUGGAGUUCUCUUUUCUUCAUGGAGUUCUCAUUUUCUCAAAAGUUUGAGUCUCUGAUAGUAAGCUUCGAUGGCUUUUUUCGCUCUUGCUUACUCGAGUCAUCUCUUGUGAUAUUAACCCCUAGGAAAGACUUGAUAUCAUCAUACUUCUUUGUCCUCCGCCCCUUUAUCUCAAGAGUUGCCAAUUUUGCCCAAUAAUUUCUCAGAAAGGGAAUCAUGGAGCCAACCUUACUAGGAGUUUUUGGUUGCCCUCCAACUUGAUCAUGCCCCCAAGUAUUCAAAUCAGGUUUGGGGAUAAGGCUAUAUGAAGGAAGGUUUGGUUAUUUACAAGGAGUUGUUUUCAUGCAGAAUUUUUGGAAUUUCAAAGCUAUUCCACGAACAGAAAUCAUUUUGACAUCGAUUCAAAGCAGAACUCAUUCUGACAAAAUUCAAGUGAUUCCUAUGGAGAGGUUUUCAGAAGUGAUGAAAACUUUUUGUUUUGAUUUUUGGUGAAAAAUAUGAAGUGACAUUUGGUUGGUCACAAAAGGUUGAAAUUUCAAUUUGAGGGUUAAUGAGAACCGUUUUUCGACGAAAAUGUGAAAAACACAAAGUGACAUCUGGUGGGUCACAAAAGGUUGAAAUAUCAAUUUAAGGGUUAUUGAGAACCGUGUUUCAAAGCAUUCAUUUUAUUUGCAUGAAUAAUGAUUUUGUUUCGCAUGAGAAAGCACUGCCUACCGAUCCAAAUUGCUUGCCUUUGAUUAGAAAGGGCUUGAUUAGGCACGUAAUGUAGGCUUGGGCUAUUGGCUAUGAAGAAAAGGAUAUUCGUAGGCUCAAAAGGUGUUUAAGGGACUUUAAGACUAAGGAUCACUAGUGCUUAUAUCCCAAACUCUUUUGUUCAUACACUUCUGGACCUUUGAUUUGAUUUGUAAAAUGGUCCACGGUGCCCCCCAAUGUUGGGCUUGGGCUCUUUCUCUUUGUUUUUGUUUUCUUCAUUUGAUUUUGAGCACCAUUGCAUUGACUCUUUUUUUAUGCUCAGAAUUUUGGAUCCUUUGGAUUUUUUAUGCCCCCCCAGCUUUGUAUGGGCACCUUCGAUUGAUUGAGAAUUUUGUUUUAUGCCCCCUAGUAUUGUUUGGGCACUUUCAUCGUUGAAGACUUUUUAUGCCCCCCAGUGUAGGGUGUGAUCCUAGUCAAGGUUAUUUCCAAAAAACACUACUAGGCUCAAAAGGGGACUGCAAAGGAUAUAUUUUAGCCUUGUGAGAGGAUUAUCAAAGAUGGCCUUUCUUCAUCUCAAAUGCAUGCAUUUAGGAUCGGUAAGCCUUGCUUUCAUGCGAGUAUGCAGAGUGACUUCUCAUUAUUCAUGCAAAUAAAACUCCGCUUUUGGAGUCACUUCACGGUGUUUUUGUUUUUUUGGGUUUUCUUGGUGUAUGGUUACCUCUCUAAAGAAUCACCUGAAUUUCCAGAACUUGUUUGUUUUGGACAAACACCAAUAUGAUUUCUGUUUUUGUACUACACUUUGAUUUCCCAAAAAUCCUUGUGAAAACAUAGGGUCAUGCUUGUUGUUUUGGGAAAAAGGAAAAACACGCCCAAAGAUUCUUGGCGUAAUGGUUUUGUAAGUACAAAGGUGUGCUCAAUAUGUUAUUUGCAUGAACACAAAAAAAAGAAAACACAUGAUUUAUUAACAGGAAAGGCUCAUUGGACAAGGAAAAUCUUGUGGAAUUUUAAGCCAAAUUAUCGACAAAAACUGGAAUAGGUUGAAAAAAUCAAGAAAUUUUUGCAGGCAUGGUCAAGCAGGGGUAGCCUUCGAAUUUUUUUUUUUUUUUUUUAGCAGAACAAGAACUGGCUCCAUUCUGCGGUGCAAUUCCCCUUCGGAUUGUGUUGAGGCUUUUGAUCAUGUUUGCCCCCCAGUUUCUUUGGGUUGAGUUGUUGUUGGGGUUUGAACAAAGAUGAUAGGUCAAUUGGAAGGAAUUUCCCUAGAGAUAUUUUUUGAUAUUUGCUCGAGUAAGCCAGAAGCGAGUCAAGCUUUUGUUUAGAGACUCCAACUUUUUUUUGAAAAUGGGUGAUGCUGCGAGCACACUCUGUAUCUCCAAUGUUUUUUUUUUCGCUCAAAAUUGGGUGUUGCAGACUCAUAGGGGACCCACUUUUUAUUCUGGAGCAUGCAUGAGAAAAUGUAUGAACAUGCAAUUUAUAUUAUGAACUUGCCCUUCGAGGGGUGACAUAUGAUCGUCACUUUUGUAUGAUGGAACAAGAAUCUUGAUUCUUGCCCAAACUCUACAAUGAAAAUUUUCGGAGUGACGAUCAUUCUGUCACCCAAGAUGCUUCAAGAAGGGUUCGCCCCAAUGCAGAUAAAUGAUAGCACAUACAACCUAAGGACAGGAUCUAUUCAUUAUGUGAACAUGGGUAGGUUUUCUACCUGGUCUCAAAAGGGUCUAUGAACUGCCCAGUGACCACCUCCCGUGAAGGCAGUAUAGGGGUUUACAAGGGAUGGUUGGGGCACCCUGUGACCGCCAUUACCAAGUAAACACUCAGCUCAUAGUUGGAUGUUUCACGAAUCUGAACCCCGACUGAAAGUCAUGAGGCAGACCGCUACUCCCCACCUAGCUUAGAAACUUGUGUGUGCUUUCAAAAAUGAAUACAAGUGAUGCAUGAAACAAUUCUAAAAAUGCAUGGAUAAAAUAAAACAAGACAAAAAUGGCAAAAAUUAAACACAUCAAAUACACAAAGCUUAGUCCAAUAUUGUCAGAAACAAUACCUCCCCAGUGGAGUCGCCAUUCUGUCGCGCGUCGGAAAACACCCCGCGCGGGGCGUCCGCUUCCUGGCGAUGGCGGUUUUUUCUCUCUGUUAUUGGAAUUGAUUUUGUUAGGAGUCGCCACCUAGUAUUUAAUUGAGGGUUACUAGGAAACCCAGGUUGACUGAUCUUAUCAGAGAUUCACGGGUAAGGGACUAAUUGUGGUUAGGGAAGGUAUUAGCACCCCUAACGCACCCUACCUGAGGUAAGCUGCUUCGUGGUUGUGAUGUGUUAAAGAAGUUUUAAAAAUUUUGUCUUUUCGUCGGAAUUUAGAAAUACAACUUUCGUACAAGUUUGUACUUCUACACCGAGAUCCGAUCAAAAUAUUAAAUCCUUCUUUAUGCUUUGCCGUCUCGUUGUAAAAAGAUACCUGAAAUAAAUACAAACAUGCAUUUUUUUUGUUUUCUUUCUUGCCUUUUUUAUUUUUUAUAACAUAAUAAAAAACAAGCACAAACACACAUUUUUUAUUAUAUUAUAUUUUUUUCUUUUUUUUUUCCUUUUUUUUCUUCUUUUUUCUUUUUUUCUUUUUUUUACAUCCUAAAUACAAAUUACAAUAUUCAAAAAUAAAUAAAAAAUACAUCAAAUAAUCCAAAAUUUACAAAACAGUCCUAGAACAGUCUGAAAUUGCAAGGGAACCCUUCUGCACAGGAAUUGGAGACAGGAACAGCUGGCGGCGCGUGUUCCAACGCGCCACCGUCACUGGCGGCGCGUGAGCCCACGCGCCGCCGCUGAUGGAGACCAAAAAUCAGUGGAUCGGGCCUGUCUUCCUCCACCGACGGUGAGAGUCACCGUCACCUGCAACAGCAAGAAAAAACACACACAAAGCAAUCGGUUUUAGUUGUUCUUCAUUUUUUCUGUGCUGCUCUUUUUCUCCGUUUUGGGGCAGAUCCGUUCGUUUCUUUUCCUUUCCUAAUCUCCUCUGUUUCGCCGCUGGGCUGGAGAAAGGAGUUGUUGGGCGGUUGGCAGGAGAGGAAGAAGACAGCGGGGGCUGCCGCUGCGCUUGGUGGAGGAGCUGGAGACGGCGCCGAAGGAGAUGAUGAAGGCUGUUGUUGGCAGCGGUGGUUGGCCUUGUUGCUGAGUGCUGCUGCCGAUGCUCUUGGUGGAGGAGAUGGAGCGCCGGCUGGAGUGGGGCUUGCUGGAGCUGGAUCGGAGUGGGAGGAGCUGCUACAGGUGUGGGUUUCUCCAGGUGUGGCCGGCGGUUGUUGAUGGAGGCGACGAGGUGGCCGGCUAUGUAGCAGCUGUGGCUUGGAGAGAGUCCGGCUGGAAGAAAAGGGAAGGGAUGAUGGCGCCGGUUUGAGGGAAAAAUGGAAGGGGAGAGGCCUUGGUCGGGUGUGUGUGUUGGUUUGAGAAAAGAAGAUGAUGGUGGAACCGGCUGCGAAAUUGGAGGUUUGUGCAGGCGGCUGAAGAGAAAACAAAACCGAAAAUCCAACAAAGAAACAGGGGGGGCGGCGGCUGCCCUGGAAGAGAAGAAGAUUAGGUUUUUUUUUUAGGGUUAGGUUUGUUCUUCUUUUUUUGUUGUCAAAAAUGCCCGCAACCCAAUCUUCAGCUGAAUGCNNNNNNNNNNNNNNNNNNNNNNNNNNNNNNNNNNNNNNNNNNNNNNNNNNNNNNNNNNNNNNNNNNNNNNNNNNNNNNNNNNNNNNNNNNNNNNNNNNNNAAUCAAUUCACUUGGUAAAAAUUAAAUGUGGUCUCUUAAAAUUCUGAUUUUUUAAUUAAGUCCAAAUUAAGCCCCCAAACUUAAUUUUUCACCAAUUAAGCCCUCAAAUUAAUUUGACCCGCUUAAAGUAUAAUUAAGUCCUUGCACUUAAUUAAAUCCUUCAAUUGGACCCAAAUUAAUUCUUGAACAUAAUUAAAAUUCAAUUUGGCCCAUGAUUAAAUCAAAUUGGCCCAUUGAAAAUUUAAUUAUGUCAUUGGACUUAAUUCUUAUGCAAAUUCGUCCAAUAAUCAUUUAAUUUGACCUUUGAAUUUGCAUUUUUUCUAUUUUUGGGCGUAACAGCGUACACUUGGGCCUUGAGAUUCUUCCGAAAAUUGCAUCUUGAUUUUCGCCUAUUUUGCAGCCUUUCUUGGUCGGCUUUCUCCGCAUUUCCAGCCUUUAUUAUAUUUUUUAUUUUUUAUUUUUUUGGGAAAAAAAAUGAAUUUUGGGGAAUCACCCAAAAUUGGGUGAUGACACCAACCAUGAUCUUACUUGAGCGACAACAAUGAUUACUAUUAAUUAAUUAUUAACUAUUAGUUAAUUAUUCUCAUUGAUGUAUUUAUUUGAGAUAUAAUGGUUUUUAUAAGAUUAUGUAUCUAUGUGGCUUAGCAGGAUCAAUCUUUACAUUUCAAUGCGAGAAAGGUAUGAAAUGUUUACUAAUUUUUACUCGUACACAGUUAUGAAAUCCUAAUAUUUUUAUAGGAAGUAAUUAAUAUAUAUAUAUAAUUUUUACUCGUACACAGUUAUGUGGCUUAGCAAGAAUAAGGACUUUCAAAUACUCUUGUUUGAAAAUUGAGUAUGUGACUUUCAAGUGAUUAUUGCUCAGAUCAAGGUAUUCCAACGAAUUAUGUUGGAAUUCACUUAUAUGGCCUAUGAAAUGAUUGUUAUGAAGGUCCAAAUAACCUAAAGAAGGAAGAGCAAACAAAAAGGAUGGUAUUGUCCCAUUGAAGAAGUUGCUAAAUAAAUAUAGACUCUCUAGAUUUGAAAGGUUUUCAAAUGAUGAUGGGAUUUCACCGCUCAAAUUACUAUGUGAGAGGUCUAACAUUCUAAGCUGUGUGAGAUUACCAAGCAGAGCUACAUUUGUCCUUCGAAUGUCACAAUUGCGAAGCAAUAUGUAUUCUAACGACUUGAGCUUACUGAUGAAGUCAUUUUCUAAAUGAACUGAAAUUCUUGUCUUAGAAAGGACCAACUGCCAGAGGACAUUACUCACAUUGGAGGAAGGAAAAGAGCCAGUGAGGCCUUCGUUGUCUGCCAAAAUGAGGGAGUCAAGGUUUGGUAGAAGAAAGAUGUUACUUGGGAACUCCCCUUGCAAUCCACAAGUGAAAGCAAUGUCAAAGAAGAGGACAAAUUCGUUAAGGAAUUAGGUGCAACCAAAGACAUAUCUAUAUAAUCCAAGUAGAGUACUCUUAGCUUGGUUAGGUUUUGAACACUCUUGUCAAAAGAGAUUGUUUCUAGACUUAGAUGUUUGUUUGAGAUAUCAAGGGAAACCAAGUUGGAGAGAUGAGAGAUUUCUGAUGAAACUUGGCCUGCAAAAUUUGAAUGAGUUAGGUUAAGAUGCAUCAAAUUGGAAAACUGGCCAAAUUGAGAAGAAAUUUUGGAGAAGUUGAAAUCAUUGUAAGAGAGGACGAGCUUUUGAAGAUGAUGAAGAGAGAAGAGAGAAUUAUUGGAAUGCAGGGUUCCGUCAAGCAUGCUGAAAAAGAGGUCCAGUUCAGUCACUUGCCCGGUUUCCAGGUCACAAGUGACCCCAUCCCACAAGCAGCAGUCUGUACCCUCUUUCCAUGACUCUGUCUUGGGAUAUUGAUCAUAUUGAUAAUUUCUAGCAAACCAAAAAGGAGACCUCUGAAUGGAAAAAGAUUGUUUGAAUUGAAGCAGAGAAAGAGCUUGGUGAUGACUACACAACUGAGUAGAAGAGGAAAAAUUUGAGGAGAAGGAUGAUGAAAUUGUUGUAAGAAAAUACAAGAGAAACAAAAUGGAACAGGGAAAUUGAGCGAGGGAUAAUGAAUAAUUCUUCAUGUUGGCUUUUCAGGAUUCAAAGUAAAUGUGGGAUAUUGAAGGAAGGAAAUGUGGAAGUCGGGGAAAUAUGAGAAACAAAGAAAGGCAAUAUUAGUAGUAUAUAUAGACAAACCAAUCCGAGGACUUAGAUUGUGCUAUUCAUUCAGUUUCUGUAGUACAAAAAAACGAAAGAGACUUACUAUACGCAGCAGCGGAGCAGAUACCGACACAAUGGUGAAUGUGGAACACAUUUAAAGACGAAAUCAAAGUCAUUAUUAUAUGUUUGAUCUUCCUCACUGCUGGGAGAAGCAUUAAAGAAGCUUCAUACAUGAGAGAGUGUGAAACAUCCUUAACUGGGUGCUGACCAAAUUUUAAAUACAAGACUAUCAAAGUAGGUCCCUUAGUUUGAAGUUUGAAGUUUGAGAAUCAAAUUUUCAGAUAAAACCUUAACUAAUGAAAUUAAGUUUGAUCUUAUCUAACAAUUGAACUUUUGUUUUCGUCGGAUGUCAUUUUCUCAACUUUUUUUUAUUGUUGCUAAUGAACUCUUCUUUGUUGCUUCUCGAUAGGUGGCUUUUAGAGUAAACAGUCGCAAAAGAUUUUUUUUCCCUUGGUAUUGUGAUCAAGGAUACUACAAAAGAUUCCAAAGCUUUUUUUUUGUCGAAGAUUCAAUUUAGAUCUUCUCCACCUUAAAUUAGGUAGCUAAAAAAUGAACUUUUGUUUCCAUGCAAUUUGGUAAAAACGAUUUUGUUCUGCUGUCCUUUUUCCUCAACUUUUGUUCAUGAGCACAUAAUCUAGUUGAAGAGGUGAUAUUUGAGUAGAAGGACGAUGAAAUUGUUGUUUUAAAAUGCAAGAGAAACAUAAUUAAUAAUACCUCACUAAAUUGUAAGGUUCUUGAUGCAUGUUCUUUUAAAAUGCAAGAGAAACAUAAUUAAUAAUACCUCACUAAACAUAAUCAUGUUCUUUUUUCAGGAUUUAAAAAUGAAAAAAAGAAGGUUAAAACAAAUAUCUGCAAUAUGUAUUCCCAUCACUAUUUAUAGACAGUAAGGUUCCUAUAACUUUCCUUCUUGACUCAAAAUAAUGGCCCACUAAAUUGUUCUUGCUAGACCACUGGAAACCAAGGCAAAGUGAUUAUUACAUAAAACCAACGGAGCACUGGCGGCUUCGCCUUUUUAUCCUUUUUCAUGGCCCAAAAGUCUUCGUUGACGAGACCAAGAAUGGGAACACAACAAUUUUAUUUUUAUUUUUUUAUUGUCGGCAAAAAUGUUACAGCCAAUAAGAUAAUGGCUAUACAAGAUGCCUUACAAACAAAAUUGGAACUAAUCAAAACUUGAAAAAAAACCCACAAAAUCAAAAUAUAAACAAAACUAAAUUCAUGCAACUAAAAAUGUUUUUGAUUGAACUCCUAUUUCGGCCAAAUAAUAUAAAAUCACCCUGUAAGUAUCACAUAAUCUCCAAGAUAUUAUGGCUCUUGAUGCAUGUAAUGGCAUUAUAUAAAUCUACCACAAUUCAGCUUUUAUAGAGUGCACAGAACAAUCAAUAUUCAAUUAAAAAGUUUUUUGAAUUGUCAAAAUCGUUGCCAAAUUUUAUUCCUUGACACCUCUACAACAAGAAAAGACACAAAAAAAAUCCCCUACAUGAUUUUAGAAGUGGCUGAUUAUUCUUAUUAUGCAAAAAAUUAAUUAAUUCUUAUAGUAUUAAAAAUAAUUAAAUAAUCAUUUGACAAAUCUUGAUCAUUUUUAAUUUCGUAAUUUAUUGUGGUGUAGAGCCGCUAGAGUUAUUGUUUGGCAAAUACAGAUUUGAAAAAAUUUCAGUUUGCAAAUAGAAGAAGAUAUUUCACCUUUCAAAUUACUAUUGGAUGCAAGAAAAAUAUCAAUUCUGUUAGAAUUAACUUACAUUACCUGUGAAUUGAUUAAUUUGUGUCUCUAAAACAAUCUUGUGGAUACCAUUUUAAUUAAUUUAAGAACUGUUUUUUAAUUAAAAAAAACUUAAAAUAUGAGAUUAUGUAUCCAGAUAAUUAAAAUAAAAAAUUGAUAAAGAAAGUCAUCUUCACCAUCUUAUGUUCACUCCAAUCUAAUCAAAUUCACAGUUGUACACCAAUAAAUUCAUUGAGUGAAUGUAGUCAACACGUUCUUGCNNNNNNNNNNNNNNNNNNNNNNNNNNNNNNNNNNNNNNNNNNNNNNNNNNNNNNNNNNNNNNNNNNNNNNNNNNNNNNNNNNNNNNNNNNNNNNNNNNNNGGUAUUUGCACUCAAGAUUCAUAAGUUACUGUUGGAUUCUCAAGACCUUUCCUUUCCACCAUCAAAAAGGAAUUAGUACAUAGCCCCAAUCCGAAAGACGAAAGAGAAGUCUAUAAUAUUAGAUUGUGCAUCGGAGCAGAUACUGACAGGAUGGGUGAAUGUGUAACACAUUUAAAGACGAAAUCAAAUUAAGUCAUUAUAAUAUGUUUGAUCUUCCUCACUGCUGGGAGAAGCACGAAAUCAAAUUAAGUCAAUAUAUAUAUAGACUGGGAGUGUGAAACAUCCUAAGCUGGGUGAAGACCAAAUUUGGAAUACAAGAUUAUCAAGUAGCAAAUUACUUUAUGGAGCGAGUGUUGGAAACGCGGCAAUAUUAAUUUAUGGAAAACAUUUAUAUGUAUAGACAAAAUAUAGAUUUUAUGGGCCAUUUUUCUUUCCAUUGAUAUAUCUAGAAUGUAAAAAAAAGGUGGGGGUAUUCCCAAUCUAUAAUUUGUUAAUAUCACUCCUCAUUUAUUAUAAGUUUUGUUAAUACUCUAUAUUAUCCUUUAUCUUUAAUAUAAUAUGGAGUAUUCUAUUUUGAUAAAAUCAAGUUUAUUGAAAUAAUAUAACUUUGAGAAUGUUAGAAAUCAAACUCUCUUUUUCCCCCUAUAUAUCCAGGAUAAGUUUACAAGAUUUGUGAUUAGAUAAGUGCAUCAGAUUAGAUUCCAUGCAAGCACUUCAGCAUUGGCAAUAACAGCCACUAAUUACUAUCAGUCCUAGUAUGAGAAAAUAGAAGAUAUAUAGCUAGGAAUAUCCUCUAUUAAAAGGAGCCUAGCAGGAUCAAACCUUAUAUUUCAAUGCCAGAUAGGUAAUGCUAUGUCUAUUCUUCCUUGUAUAUGUUCAUAAACAAGAGGAUGAGAGAAGGGAAGAGGUUCAUAAACAAAUGCCAGAGGAUCUUAGCCAAGUUCCCAAAGGGAGGCAAGUAUACUUGCAAGCCUUGUGCUGCUUCUCAUAAAUUCUGACAUUGCUCGAUGCUUGAAUUCACAUGAGAGAUGCAUUUUUCUCUCUCUGAAUGCGUUGCUGGUUUCAUUUUUCCAGAUCACCCGAGAAAUCUAAAAAGAGUGGCCCAUCUGUUAUUCUUAUAAUAGUUAUACCUAGUAGCAACAAAGGUGGGAAGAAUAUUACCAAAAAUGGAUUUGUUCUAAACUCCUGAAUGGAUAGCUGCAAGUUCUCUGCAAGACCAAAUCCUUUACAUUUGUCUAGAAUGCCUCCAGCACCUGAAUUCAUUUGUCACUUACUCCCCUUUGGAAAGAGGUAACAGAAUUUGGUGUUUGGAAUUCAAGCUCCCAAUUACCAGCUCAAACCCUGAUUCUAACCCUUGAUUGAUUGAACAUGGAGCAUGAUCAUUAUUAAUUGUAUUAGUAAAAUCCUGCCCCAGUGGUGUUUAUCCAUUGUUGAACCUCUUGUUGACACAACCACAGCCAUGAGACCUCAUGUACUGGUCUUCAUCAUGUCUUUCAACAUUCUCCAGAUAAUUGUAUUAAUUGGCUGGGGGUUCGAUUUAGUCACUCAUUUACUCACAGAUUAUGAUGGUACCCAUCUCAGCUCAAUAUCUCUUGCAGCUUCUUUCAGUCUCUCAUGAGUUCUUGAGUUUUUGCCAAAUCUUAAACCAUGUUGUCAGCUCCUUAAUCUGAGCUAUAGAUAAAGUUAGAUGCAGGGUAGUUUAAUCCUAAUCACACGAAAGAAAGUGUCAGGAGUGCAGUAAGAGCGAGACACCUUUUCUACAAAUUUUCUGAAUUCUAAUGAAAUCUACGGCAAUUUGGAAAAAAACCAACUCUCUGGCAGGAGGGAGAAGAAAGAAGCGUGGAAAACAGGAUCGUUCUCAGGUAUCAUUAGGAAUUGUUUCUAGGACAAGAAUAAUAUGUCCAGGUGGGAAAUGGUUUACCCGGCCAAAAGCAUGCAUCAAACAAGAAUAAAAUCAAUACUUGCUUAGAUUUCUCAGCAUCUUCCUCUGCCCUCACCACUCCAUGACUUUUAGUAAACACAGUAACCCAAAAUCACAAAAAAUCUAAAAUUCAAUUCACAUUAAACAAUAGCUACAAAUCUAUAAGAUAAUUAUAAAUUAAGUUUAAGAACAAAUAAUGUCAUCAAUUAUGUCCAAAGUAUUCCAGAGGUUUCUCAAUUGGAUCCUUCUAUCCAUUUUGUCUCAAUUUUAAUGUUAAGUUUUCCUUUAAUAAACCAGUUUCAUUGCAUAAAACAGUAAAAUUAUAUGGAAAGAAUCUAAAAAACAAAUUGAGAAAAAUACCCAAUUGAGAAAUAUAUGGCAUAUUUUGGAUCUAAUUGAUAAAAUACAUUGUUCAGGGUCUUGAUUGAGAUACAUAUAUAGCUUAAGAUCCAGAAUGAGGUUUACCCUUUAAUUUUACAUGUCUGGAGUCUUCAAAGUGGGGGCCACCUUCUCAUUGAGAUGUAAAGAUUUUUAUAAGAUUUUAAAGCUUGAUAAUGGAUUAAUUUAAUGAGAUAUUUUAUCUGGCGGGGUUAUCUUAAAUUUGCAUAAAAGUUACAUAUUUAUGUGGCAUAGCAGUAUCAAUCUUUACAUUUCAAUGCGAGAUAGGUAUGAAAUGCUAACUAAUUUUUACUUGUACACAUCCACUAUUUCAGAUCAUGAAAUCCUAAUAUUUUUAUAGAAAAUAAAUAAUAUAUAUAUAUAUAUAUAUAUAUAUUAAAUUCAAUUCUUCAUCAAUUCAAAGUUAAAGUAUAAAAUUAAAAAUAAAAUUUAACUAAAAAAAAUAAAACAACUUAACACAUAUUUAUCUGUCAAACCUGAAUCAUAAGAUCAGAAUAAUUCUAUAAAAAAAUAUCAAAAUAAAUUAUGAAACUCAAUUCUCAAUUAAUUAAAAUUUUAAAGAUGAGAUUAAAAAUAAUAAAAAAUGACACAAAAAACUCAUGACUCGGGUCAACUGACCAAACUCAUAUCUUGGAUCAUAAGAUCAAAAUAACCUUAUAGAACACAAACCAAAAUAAAUUAUAAAGUCUAAUUUCCAAUCAACUAAAUAUUAAAAAAAAUCAAUUACAAAAAAUCAAGUCAACUUAGUCUAAUCCACGAUCUAGGUCAUAAAACCUUAAUAACCUUAUAGAAAAUAAUUUUGUUUUAUAAAGUUCAAUCCUCAAUCAACCCAAUGCUGAAUGAUUAAAUUAAAAAAAAAGAAGAAAAAAGGAUAAAAAAUAACACGAGUUAACUCAGGUUAACUUGUCAAACCUGAGUCAUAUGAUUAGGAUAAUUCCAUAGAAAAAAAGAAAGAAAGAAAGAAAAAAUAUAAAGUUCAAUUCUUAAUCAAUUCAAUAUUGAAGGAUGAAAUUAAAAAAUAAAUAUUCAAUUAAAAAAGACAAAAAAAAAAACUCAAUUCAAUCUAGCUAACCCGCAAAACUCGUGACUCAAGUCAUGAGACCAUGAUAACCCGGUAGAAAACAAAUCAAAAAAGAAUUAUGAAACUCAAUUUCAAAUCAAUUUAAUAUUGAAUGAUGAAGUUGAGAAACAAAAUAAUAAUUAAAAAUGAUAAAAAAAAAUAACUCAAGUCAACAAGGCUAACCCCUCAAACUCACAACUCAGGUCAUAAAACCGAGAUAACUUCAUAGAAAUUAAAUUAAAAUAAAUUAUGAAAUUCAAUAUGCAGUAAGUCCAAUAUUGAAGGGUGAAAUUAAAAAAAAAAUAUAAAAUAUAAAAUAAAAAUAAAAAUAAAAAUAAAUCAUAAAAAAUCUUGAUGACCGAAGUAAAGAAAAAUUCUUAAUAUGCAUAUAGAAUAAGAAAUCUCACCUGUCAAUUUAUUGUUGGACGCGAGAAUAAGGACUUCCAAAUACUCUUGUUUGAAAAUUAAGCUUGGGAUUGAACCAUGCAAGUGAUUAUUGCUCAAAUCAAGGUAUUCAAACGAAUGAUGUUGGAAUUCACUUAUAUUGCCUAUGAAAUUAAUGAUUGUUAUGAAGGUCCAAAUAACCUAAAGAAAGAAGAGUAAACAAAAAGGAUGGUAUUGUUCCAUUGAACAAGUUACUAAAUAAAUAUAGACUGUCCAGAUUUGAAAGGUUUUCAAAUGAUGAUGGGAUUUCUCCUCUCAAAUUAUUAUUUGAGAGGUCUAACAUUCUAAGCUGUGUGAGAUUACCAAGCAGAGCUACAUUUGUCCUUCGAAUGUCACAAUUCUGUUUGCCUUAGGCAAAACGUUUAAGGGGUGAUAAUAUCUUCCCUUUUAGGUAAUCAAUCCCGAGCCAUGGAAUCUCUGUUGACCAGUUAGGGUUCCUAGUGACCAUAAUACUAGGUGGCGACUCCUCAAACAAGACCUUUUCCCCUAGAAGAACAAGAUGCUAGAAAUCUGUUCUUUCCAUGUAAAUAUUUUUUAGGGCCGCCGCGAUGUCGGGUGCGACACAUAAGAUCAGAAUAAUUCUAUAAAAAGAUAUCAAAAUAAAUUAUGAAACUCAAUUCUCAAUUAAUCAAAAUUUUAAAGAUGAGAUUAAAAAUAAUAAAAAAUGACACAAAAAACUCAUGACUCGGGUCAACUGACCAAACUCAUAUCUUGGAUCAUAAGACCAAAAUAACUUUAUAGAACACAAACCAAAAUAAAUUAUAAAGUAUAAUUUCCAAUCAACUAAAUAUUAAAAAAAUCAAUUACAAAAAAUAAAGUCAACUGAUCUAGGUCAUAAAACCUUAAUAACCUUAUAGAAAAUAAUUUUGUUUUAUAAAGUUCAAUCCUCAAUCAACCCAAUGCUGAAUGAUUAAAUUAAAAAAAAGAAGAAAAAAGGAUAAAAAAUAACACGAGUUAACUCAGGUUAACUUGUUAAACCUGAGUCAUAUGAUUAGGAUAAUUCCAUAGAAAAAAAGGAAGAAAGAAAGAAAAAAUAUAAAGUUCAAUUCUUAAUCAAUUCAAUAUUGAAGGAUGAAAUUGAAAAAUAAAUAUUCAAUUAAAAAAGACAAAAAAAACUCAAUUCAAUCUAGCUAACCCGCAAAACUCGUGACUCAAGUCAUGAGACCAUGAUAACCCGGUAGAAAACAAAUCAAAAAAAAAAAUAUGAAACUCAAUUUCAAAUCAAUUCAAUAUUGAAUGAUGAAGUUGAGAAAAAAAAUAAUAAUUAAAAAGGAUAAAAAAAAUAACUCAAGUCAACAAGGCUAACCCCUCAAACUCACAACCCAGGUCAUAAAACCGAGAUAACUUUAUAGAAAGUACAUUAAAAUAAAUUAUGAAAUUCAAUAUGCAGUAAGUCCAAUAUUGAAGGAUGAAAUUAAAAAAAAUAUAAAGUUAAAAAUAAAAAUAAAUCAUAAAAAAUCUUGAUGACCGAAGUAAAGAAAAAUUCUUAAUAUGCAUAUAGAAUAAGAAAUCUCACCUGUCAAUUUAUUGUUGGACGCAAGAAUAAGGACUUCCAAAUACUGUUGUUUGAAAAUUAAGCUUGGGAUUGAACUAUGCAAGUGAUUAUUGCUCAAAUCAAGGUAUUCAAACGAAUGAUGUUGGAAUUCACUUAUAUUGCCUAUGAAAUGAUUGUUAUGAAGGUCCAAAUAACCUAAAGAAAGAAGAGUAAACAAAAAGGAUGGUAUUGUUCCAUUGAACAAGUUACUAAAUAAAUAUAGACUGUCCAGAUUUGAAAGGUUUUCAAAUGAUGAUGGGAUUUCUCCUCUCAAAUUAUUAUUUGAGAGGUCUAACAUUCUAAGCUGUGUGAGAUUACCAAGCAGAGCUACAUUUGUCCUUCGAAUGUCACAAUUCUGUUUGCCUUAGGCAAAACGUUUAAGGGGUGAUAAUAUCUUCCCUUUUAGGUAAUCAAUCCCGAGCCAUGGAAUCUCUGUUGACCAGUUAGGGUUCCUAGUGACCAUAAUACUAGGUGGCGACUCCUCAAACAAGACCUUUUCCCCUAGAAGAACAAGAUGCUAGAAAUCUGUUCUUUCCAUGUAAAUAUUUUUUAGGGCCGCCGCGAUGUCGGGUGCGACACAUAAGAUCAGAAUAAUUCUAUAAAAAGAUAUCAAAAUAAAUUAUGAAACUCAAUUCUCAAUUAAUCAAAAUUUUAAAGAUGAGAUUAAAAAUAAUAAAAAAUGACACAAAAAACUCAUGACUCGGGUCAACUGACCAAACUCAUAUCUUGGAUCAUAAGACCAAAAUAACUUUAUAGAACACAAACCAAAAUAAAUUAUAAAGUCUAAUUUCCAAUCAACUAAAUAUUAAAAAAAUCAAUUACAAAAAAUAAAGUCAACUGAUCUAGGUCAUAAAACCUUAAUAACCUUAUAGAAAAUAAUUUUGUUUUAUAAAGUUCAAUCCUCAAUCAACCCAAUGCUGAAUGAUUAAAUUAAAAAAAAAAGAAGAAAAAAGGAUAAAAAAUAACACGAGUUAACUCAGGUUAACUUGUUAAACCUGAGUCAUAUGAUUAGGAUAAUUCCAUAGAAAAAAAGAAAGAAAGAAAGAAAAAAUAUAAAGUUCAAUUCUUAAUCAAUUCAAUAUUGAAGGAUGAAAUUAAAAAAUAAAUAUUCAAUUAAAAAAGACAAAAAAAAAAACUCAAUUCAAUCUAGCUAACCCGCAAAACUCGUGACUCAAGUCAUGAGACCAUGAUAACCCGGUAGAAAACAAAUCAAAAAAGAAUUAUGAAACUCAAUUUCAAAUCAAUUUAAUAUUGAAUGAUGAAGUUGAGAAACAAAAUAAUAAUUAAAAAUGAUAAAAAAAAAUAACUCAAGUCAACAAGGCUAACCCCUCAAACUCACAACUCAGGUCAUAAAACCGAGAUAACUUCAUAGAAAUUAAAUUAAAAUAAAUUAUGAAAUUCAAUAUGCAGUAAGUCCAAUAUUGAAGGGUGAAAUUAAAAAAAAAAUAUAAAAUAUAAAAUAAAAAUAAAAAUAAAAAUAAAUCAUAAAAAAUCUUGAUGACCGAAGUAAAGAAAAAUUCUUAAUAUGCAUAUAGAAUAAGAAAUCUCACCUGUCAAUUUAUUGUUGGACGCGAGAAUAAGGACUUCCAAAUACUCUUGUUUGAAAAUUAAGCUUAGGAUUGAACCAUGCAAGUGAUUAUUGCUCAAAUCAAGGUAUUCAAACGAAUGAUCGAUGUUGGAAUUCACUUAUAUUGCCUAUGAAAUUAAUGAUUGUUAUGAAGGUCCAAAUAACCUAAAGAAAGAAGAGUAAACAAAAAGGAUGGUAUUGUUCCAUUGAACAAGUUACUAAAUAAAUAUAGACUGUCCAGAUUUGAAAGGUUUUCAAAUGAUGAUGGGAUUUCUCCUCUCUAAUUAUUAUUUGAGAGGUCUAACAUUCUAAGCUGUGUGAGAUUACCAGCAGAGCUACAUUUGUCCUUCGAAUGUCACAAUUGUGAAGUAACAUAUAUUCUAACGACUUGAGCUUACUGAUGAAGUCAUUUUCUAAAUAAACUGAAAUUCUUGUAUCAGAAAGUACCAACUGCCAAAGGACAUUACUCAUAUUGUAGGAAGGAAAAGAGCCAGUGAGGCCUUCGUUGUUUGCCAAACUAAGUGAGUACUCUUAGCUUGGUUAGGUUUUGAACAAUCUUGUCAAAAGAGAUUGUUUCUAGACUUAGAUGUUUGUUUGAGAUAUCAAGUGAAACCAAUUUGGAGAGAUGAGAGAUUUCCAAAGGAACUUGGCCUGCAAAACUUGAAUGAGUUAGGUUAAGAUGCAUCAAAUUGGAAAACUGGCCAAAUUGAGAAGAGAUAUUGGAGAAGUUGAAAUCAUUGUAAGAGAGAACGAGCUUCUGAAGAUGAUGAAGAGAGAAGAGAGAAUUAUUGGAAUGCGGGGUUCCGUAAAGCAUGCUGAAAGAGAGGUCCAGUUCAGUCACUUGCCCAGUUUUCAGGUCACAAGCAGCAGUCUGUACCCUCUUUCCAUGACUCUGUCUUGGGAUAUUGAUCAUAUUGAUAAUUUCUAGCAAACCAAAAAGGAGAACUCUGAAUGGAAAAGGAUUUUUUGAAUUGAAGCAGAGAAAGAGCAACUAAAUAUGUUUUAAAUUGAACUCCUGUUUUGUCCAAAUGAUAUGUAACCUUAUUCUUUUUUCCAAGAAUAUAUGUAAAGUUCAUAGAAGAAAGGAUACUACAAGCAUUUGAAAUCUCAUUGAAAUAACCUUGUAAAUAUCACAUACAAGUAUCACAUCCUAGUUAAUUGGUAUUUUAGGGAUUGCUGAUUUUUCUCAAUAUGAGAAAAAUCUAAUAAAUACUUGAGUAUUUAUUAAAAAUAAUUGAAUAGUCAUUUGACAAGUUUUGAUCAUGGUUUCUUAUCAAUCUUUCAACUUAUAUACUUUGGUUUGUCCUUUUUCUAUUUUAAAUAAAAAAUAAUAUGAAAUGGAUGAAAAUGAUUAAGUUAUAAAUGCAAUUAGAAAUGACCCAAACGGCUUAUUUUACUUACUCUAUAAUUGCAUGCAAUAUAAUUUGCUCCUCUCAGUUUUUGUUAGGUCUCUGACCUCCAUUUCUUCUUCCAACUUCUUUAUUCUAUCCUGCAAUUCCCAAAGUCUGUUAUCCUGAUUACUGAAAACAUCAUGAUUCCAGGUUUGAGAUUUAUGUGCCAACAAUCUCAAAAUGGUUUCCCGAACAUAUAUGGUUGAGUCGAGUUAGAGUUGUGGAGGUAAUGAAGAACCCUAAUUCUUCAAUUAUAUGGUUACAUGUAAUGUAAAAAGUUUAACUUGAUAUGAAUUGACAUAUAUGGAUGGUCAGCCCAAUCGUCCUUGGAAUCACCUUUCGUUCUUUUGCACCAAAAACUCAUAAAAAAUGAUUCCAAAUCAAACACCACAGACACCCUCCAAGAAGGCAACAAUUUUGCUGAAAGGUGUAGGCACUAAAUAUCUCCGUUUAAAUCACCUUUGUCGAUACACGACGUCGGGCGACGGCUCCCGCUUUUUUUGUUUAUUUAACAAAAAGGGUUUUUUUCUCGAUUGGGGGAAACAAAGAUUUUAUUGGAGUCGCCAUCUAGUAACUUGAGGGAACUAGAAAUCCCAAAUUAGACACUGGUCCCAGAGAUUCGGGUACGGGGUUAGUUAUGAUUAAGGGAAGGUAGACACCACCCUUAAAACAUCCUUUCAAAAGAAAGGUUACCCUUACUUGUGUGUUUUUUUUUUAUUCAAAUGCGAUUAUAUUUUGGGCUUAUUUGUAAUUCUUUUUAAAUGAUUAACGUCGGUCCCUAAAAAUAGGAGACACGUUAAAAAUGACAUCAGUCCCUAAAAAUUAGGAGACUCGUCUAAAAUAUUGACGUUUGUCCCUAUAAAGGAGAGUUACGUCUGGGUUAAUAAUGGAUAUAAUCCAUUAUAUUUUGGGUUUAUUGGUAAUUUGUUUUUUUCAAAUGGUUAACGUCGGUCCCUAAAAAUAGGAGACGCGUUAAAAAUGACAUCAGUCCCUAAAAAUUAGGAGACUUGUCUAAAAUAUGACGUUUCAACCCUAAAAAGGAGAAUUACGUCUGGGUUACCAAACGAAAUAAUGGACAUAAUCCAUAUUUGGUAUUUACAUUUUUGACAUCGGUCCUUUUUUAAAAAAAGAGACGUGUCGACUUUGGUUUUUGCAUUUUUUACAACAUGCAAGAAAAUUUACAAGCAUUUAUAUAUGAAAAAAAAUAUCAAAAAUAUCAGUAGAAACCCAAAAAAUUACUUGAGUGUCACUGUAGAGGUAAAAUAAUAAAAUACCCUUGAAUUUCUCCGAAAUUUACAAAAAUGCCACUGGCGGCGCGUGUGGCCCACGCGCGGUUAGUGUUGGAGGCGGUGAAAUUUUCUGGCGCGAUUUCCGGCCAACAAAUGGUUGUUUCUGGUAGAUCUGAGGGCGAGGAUCUGAGGGCGAGGAUCUGAGGCCGUUGAUGGCUGACGAGGGAGAAUCGUCGGUUUGAAGCUUCGGUGGCCGACGAAAAUCGCGGCCCUUUUCCGGCCAGAUGGAGCGGCGAAAACGCUGAAACCGGCCGGGGUUUUGCUUUAUAUGAGGAAGAAAACCUUUCUGUGGUGGUUUUCAAGCUUGCAGUGGCCGGAGAUGGGAGAUCGGAGGAGAGAGAGGGAGUCGCCGACGAGAGGAGAGAGAUGCUCUGGGCUAUGCUACGGUGAGAACACUAGCACGGUACACCGGUGCCGUUGAUGCCUGUGAUCCGUUGGAUCUCUGAUGAAACAAUCGGAUGGCUGUGAUUGGCUAGAUCUGCAGGUUGAUCGGACGGUCUGGAUGAGCGGAGCUUUGAUCUGGUGUGGCACGGUGCACCGAAAGCUCGGUACACCGGAUGACGUGGCGCAACGGGAUCAAAGCUUAGAUUAUUCCAAGGGCUGAGAUGUGUUUGGGUUUUAAUCUAGUGUGGUAAGCCCUAUUGUAUCCUAUUAAAUCAACGGUUUAGAUCUAAAUACUAUUAGAUCUAACGGUUAGGAUAUAUUUGGUAUUUUCUAUAUUGUUUUUUUUAAAAAUCAAUAUCCUACUCGCGUGAAGAAAUAGUAAAAAAACCUGAAUAGUAUAUAUGUAAUCUCUCUUCUUUUUUUUCUUUCUCCUCCCUCCUCCCUGGCGCACUGUCACUGGCUAUUUAUAGCCAAGGGGACAUACAAAGCUUAAAUUUCCACAAAUUUUAUUUUUUAAUCACCGUCUGCUUUCGGCAUUUUUUAAUCACCGUUUGCUUUCGGUGCAACUGCCCGUUUGACAAAUUUUAUUUUAUUUUUAUUUUAUUUUUUUAUUAUGUAUAAUAAUAUAUAUUUAUAUAGGUAAAAUUAAAAACUCAAUUCAGUAUUAGAAAAACCCGAUUCAACCGCUAAAAAUCAAUUUUAAUGAUCGAAAAUAACAGUUUCGACCCAAAAUGACCUGAAACUUAUUUUUUACCCUGGUCGACAUGGUUUGACCCGUAUUGACCUGGUGAACUCGGUUUUGACCAGAAAUGACGGUUUUGACCCGAAAACGGCCUGAAACUCAUUUUUUACCCUGGUCGACAUAGUUUGACCCGUAUUGACUCGGUGGACUCGGUUUUGACCGAAAAUGACGUUUUUGACCCGAAACGGCUUGAAACUCAUUUUUUACCCUGGUCGACAUGUUUUGACCCGUAUUGACUCGGUGGACUCGGUUUUGACCGAAAAUGACGGUUUUGACCCGAAAACUCAUUUUUUACUUGGCCGACAUGGUUUGACCUGUAUUGACCCGGUGGAAUCGGUUCUUAUGGAAAGAUGCGGUUGACUCGAGAAAAAUAUAUUUUUGAAUUUUUCUUUUUCUUAAUUUUUUUGAAUUUUUAUAAAUAAUAAUAGAAAUAAAAUAACAUUUGAGAAAAUCUUGGUGGAUCCAAAAUUGGGUUACAACAACCUUCAGUGGGAAAUUAUGUUUCAUCUUUAGCUGCUUAAUAGAUUACAUGAUGGGUGGUGAUGCAUAAAUGCAAUAAUAAGCUAUGAUUACGAUCGAGUACUUUUUUUUAAUUAAAUUUGACAUGCUUGAGAGAGGUUGACUUUUGACUUAGCUGAUUCAUUAAUUCUUGACUUGAGAAAGAUCUAAAAAAGUCAAGCCAGGAUUGUUUCGGUUGACCUAAAUCAAUAACCUGUUAACAUUUUUAAAUUUUUUGACCAACAUUUUAGAACAGUAUUCAAUGUAAGUAGGUUGACUUUAUAGAUUAAAAAAUAAUUUGGAUAACUUGUAAAAAUAUAGUUUGACUCAGAAACAUAUUCAAGAAGAUAUAUAUUAUUUUUUUAAUAUUAAAAUAACAAUAUAUUAGAUUAAUUUAGGUCAAACCAAGUUAACAUAUCACAUCCAUGACUCGAGUUAUGAAAAUAGCCCUACAUAAAAAAAUCAAAACAAAUUAUGAAAUUGAAUUCCCCAUUAACAAAAUAUUAAAGGAUAAAAUUGAAAAAAUCAAUUGAAAAAAGGAUCUAAAAAAAUAAUCUAUGCUAACCUAUCAAACCCACAACUCGAGUUAUAAUAUCAAGAUAACCUCAUAAAAAUUAAAUUAAGACAAAUUACAAAGUUUAAUUCUCAUUCAAUCUAAUAUCAAAGGAUAAGAUUAAAACAAUAAAUCAAAUAAAAAACUAGGUUUGAAACAUUUUGUUAUGUAUUAAAGUUAAAUCAUUUUUCAUAUUUUAAAUGCAUAUAUGGAUUAAUUAACGUAUACACAAUAAAGAAUUUAUUGUGAGUUUAUUUUGAAUUGUAACUCGAAAUAGUAAUUCAAGAAAUAAAUUAUGUUUAUGAUAAAUGUUUGAAAGUGUAUCGAUUUUUAAUUAAAAUAUUUAUUGAUGCGGUAGAAGGAUAGUAAAAAGAUGCAGGCAGGUAUAAAAUUUCUUGAUAAAGAAGUCCCUUAUUUAGUGUACCGCAAAUUAUUCCCGCUAUGAAUGGAAUGAUGAUUUAAGUAUUGAAUAUAAAUCAAAGAAAUGUGCGCAUUAUUAUACUAUACUUUAAAAUAUAUGGGAAAAUUAUUGUACUAGUACUAUGUAUAUAGAAUAUUUGCACUGUGAAUUACAAUGUAAAUAUUCAAAAAACAAUUUAAAAAGACAAGGUGCAAUUGUUAAGUUUACACAAUUUAAAAAGAUAAGGUGUGAUGCACCUACCUAGAGUAUGUGUGCGUACUGCUACUCCAUGUCAUUGUCCAGUUCCUACAGCUUCUCCUGAAUAUUGACGAGCUACUGUUCAACAUAAAUGAAACUUUACCGGAGAGUGGGUUUCCAAUCUCUACCGUCUAGAAUGAAGGCAACAUUCAAGCGCAUCACAUAUCCAAAAAUAGACAUGAUCCAGCAGUGGAAGAGAGAGAAAUCGAUCGGCAACCAAAACUGUCAUGCAGGUGUAUUUCCUUUUGUUUUCCAGAAAAUUUACGAUGAUGAUUUAUGUCAAACGGAUUAUGUGCCUUCAAAUCCCUCUAGUCAGUUAGUAAAGGAGUGUGAGAAGAACAAUAUAUCCAGAAAUCAACAUAAUCCAACAGUGUAUUCCAAAGAUAUGGUCACCAGAGCAUUAUUAGCUCCUCCAAAUUCUGCACUUCUCUCUCUAGCCGAAUUUUCUCUAUUGUCUCUCACCUUUUUUUUUUGAACUGGUGGCCUCUUUGCUGUUCUAAAGGUAUAUUUACCCCUAAUUACAAUUUUGUCCCUCAUUUAUGCCUUUAUGUCUUUUAUUUCAUUUUUCAUGUAAACUAUUCGGCUUGUUUCUACUUAAAUCGCUAGUAUUUACCGAACUACAAUUGGGAUGAGAUAUUUAACCAAGGUAAGAAAACAUAUUAAUAGACUUCAUGCAAAACUUCAUUCCGAUCCGAUAAUUGAAUUGAGAGCUCUGCUUUUUAAUGUAAAAUUGGUCAGUUCAUGACUUUUCAUCAACGAUCCAAAUUUUAUUGUUGAAUCUUCACAUAAAAUUAUAUCAAUUAUCAUUCUAAACCUCUAAGGUCAUUUUAUUAUUUUGGAAUAUAUUCAUUUUAAAAUUUCCACAUUUAUUUAUUUAUCAGGUAUUAUUAUCGUUUCAAAGUAAUGUCAUUGAUUUUUAAUCGGUGCUUGCACCUUCAGUCCUAUAAUUUUCAUUGCACCAUCCCUUAUUAUAAUUUAUUCUUUAUUACCUCACUUAUUCCUUAGAAACAUUUUAUCAUUUUCCUUGUUAUUUUAUCCAUCAAAACGCGUUACCAGUUUCUCUAUCCUUAUGAAUUCUAAACUAAAAUUCAUUUUAUAGAGGUCAUCCCCUCCAUUAUAUAUCAUUAUUCAUCUAUUAUUUCUUAUCUUGGUUUUCAUCACUUAUUGAGAUCAUACCAUUUUCAGUCUUACGUUUACAUGGAAGUUUACACAUCUCCAUAUUUAAAUUAUAAAUUUCUAGGGUUUCACAAUAUUUUUUGUUCAAUGGAUGUUAUAAAGAUUGUGGUUGUGAUGAUGAUGAUGUUUGUAGGAUUGAAACUCAUGGCGAUUGGGUCAUGAUUGAGUUAUGAGAUGUGUGAUAUAAUAAUUGUAAACAGGUUAUAUGUCAAUAACUUGGGACCUCCUGGUAUAGGGGAGACUCCGCUGAAAUUUUGAUAAACUUUUUAUAUGAAAACUGUAUAAAAAAAUUUACCUAUAUUUUUACGUACCAAAUCAUAGAAAAGUAACUAUAAAUACAUAUGAAAGUAUGGGGCGUUAUAAUGUCAAUAUACUAGUUUGUACGUUAAACUAUGCACAUGCAUCAAAGUGUUGUUCGAUUUGAUUAACUAGUCAAUAUAAAUAAAACGAAGAGAGUUCUAUGGCAUUUUUUUUGAGAAAAAAAAAGUUAUUUUUAUUAUGGGUGAGAAAUGUUUAUGAUAUUUGUUUUUCUCUAACAUAAGAUUUAUGGUUAUGAAAAGAGUGUUUAAGAGUAUGACAGUGGUUGCGGUUCAAAGUGCAUUUUGCUUAGAUAUGCAUUAAAAUAUUUUUUUAUUUUAAAAAAUUAUUUUUUAUAUUAGCACCUUAAAACGAUUUAAAAAUAUAAUAAAAAAAUAAUUUUAAUAAAAAGAAUUUAUUUUUUAGGAAACGCAGUUGAAACCGACUGCCUAACUAGAGAAGAUGAUGAAGUUACAUCUAGACAGCAAAAUCCAACUCCUUGGUUAUUGAAACUGAGUAUAAAAUCUAAGAUUACCAGUGAAGUUGUAUCAAUUAAAAUGAUAUUGUUUUAAUUUUUUUAAAUUAAUUUAGAUUUUGAAUUAUUCAACUAGAUCAUGAUUUAAUUUAUCAGGUCAUUUAAAUCACAUUAUUUAACUUUCACUUGAUUUUUUUUAAAACCUAACAUGAAUUAAUCGUUGUGAGAUCAAUCCGCCUGACGGAGUUUAAUAGCUUGUUACAAAUAAAUUACGCCAUUUUACACUUACCUUUUGGGAGUAAGAACUCAAUUUUGGAAGGGACGGUGAAUUUCAAUUUUGCACUUUCUUUUCAUCCAUUGCACUUUCUUUUUACCUUUUACUGGAACUCAAUUUUGAAAGGGACGGUGAGUUUUAGUUUUAAUUCUAGGUGGGCUCGAUUGGAUUGCUUUGUUAAAAAAAUAAUCACAUUGACAAAAGACCAAAGGGACUAUUGUCAAUUGCUGACUAUAAGUGUGGAGCGUCUUAUAAUCUGAUUUCUAUGGAAUUCUAGAAAAUCUUCUAUACCAUAAAUAAUAUACAUUUAAUUGGACUUGAAAAAUAUAGCCUCAUUGAUUAAAAUUAAAUUUGCCUUAAAUUAUUAUUAUUAUUAUUGGCUUUUAAAAAAACUUCAUUAAGUCUAGAAAUAGAAAUAGGGCUUAUAGCUUUAAUAAGACUUCACCCCAAAAUUUAGCCAGUCCUUUCCCAGCCCAACCCUAACCACUCAUCAUAGCCCAAACCCUAACUACUACCACCACCAAGUCCACCAGCACAUAAAUUUCCAACACAACCCCAACAGACCACCCAAAAAGAACUCCAAACCAAGGACAUUAUUCUACUUUAAACACACAUACAAAAUCCAGAAACCCCUCACCCCCCUCCUCCUUCUUUAUUCCCCAAGAACUCCCAAAGCUUAAAAACAAUAAAAAGACUAUCAAACACAAUAUAACUUCAAUAAAUCUUAUACCUUUUUCCUUUAUUAUUUUUUACGUAAAAACCUUAAUAUCAUCUAUUAGGGGUUCUUCAGAAACCAAGUUUUUUGCAAGAACUAGUGUUAAAUGCAGCAAGUGCAGCUUUAAGUUGUUUGGUAUUGUUUGCUGGGCUCAGGAAACUUGACCUAAAUCGUGAAGCAUCAAAGAAAGCCCUUGAACAUAAGAAGGAAAUCGCCAAACAUUUGGAUCGUCCCCUUAUCCAAACAAACCCUUAUGAGGUGUGUGUCAAAGUUUCUGUUUUUUUUGCCAUUUUUUUUUUGGGUUUUUUUUUUAUUUUUUUUUAUUUUUGAAGGAUUCUGUGAAUCUUGGUUAUGGGGGUAAUUAAUGGAAUAUAGGGUUUGUUUUGGUUUAUUGUUUUUUGGAGGAUUCUGUGAAUUUUGGUUAUAUGGUUAGAUAAUGGAACGAAGAAUUUUGUGAAUUUUGAUUAUAGGGUUAGUUAAUGGCAUAUAGGCUUUGUUUUUAUUAUGUGCUAUUGGUUUUAUUAUAUGCUUCAAUUGUCAUUUAUCUGUAAAAGUUUGAACUUUGUGUGUGAUAGCGGGGUUGAGGUUGAUAUUGCAAUGAGAGAUGUGGGUGGUUUAUUGUAGGGAAUAGGGAUUGGGGGGUUUUGAGUUUUUUAGUUUAAUCGGUGUUUGGGAUAUGGGGGAGUGACUGCUUGUGCCGAAUGGAAUGGGAUUAAGUUUCCAGUUUUGCUGGGAUGAAUGGAGUUGCUUUGUUGUAGUCGAAACUAAGUUCAUUUCAGAUUGAGUUGUUUGUUGAACUUUUGAACUGGUGGGUUGGAGUUUAGGCCUCUUGUGGCUGAAAAGUUCGAAUUCUUGUAUGACAAUGGAGAUGGGGGCUAUGGGAUUAAGAUUGUGAUGAGGGAUCCUGUUGGUCCAGUGGGUUAUUGUAGGGAAUAGGGAUUGGGGGAUUUGGGUUUUUUUAGUGAAGAUAGGUAAUUUAAUUAGUUUUUGGAAUGUGGGGGAGUGAUUCCUUGUGCCGAAUGGGGUGUGUUUGAGUUUCCAGUUCUGUUGUGAUGAAUGAAGUUGUUUUGUGUUGGUAGAAACUAAGUUCAUUUCUGAUUGAGUUGUAUAUUGAGCUUUUGUACUGGAGCGCUGGAGUUUAGGCCUUUGGGUUGAUGUUAUAGCAUGAUUGAAUUGUCAUUUACUUGCAAGAGGUUUGAAUUUUCUAUGAUAAUGGGAUGAGGACCAUGAGGUUAAGACUGCAAUGAGGGAUGUGUGUGGUUUGGUGGGUUAAUGGAGGGAACAGUGAUUGGGGGAUCGAGGUGUUUUGGUGAAGAUAGGUGUUUCAAUUAGUUUUCGGAAUGUUGGGGAGUGAUUGCUCAUGCCGAAUGGGAUAUGAUUAAAUUUCAAGUUUUGGUGGAUGGAAGGAGUUGUUUUGGGUUGGUGUUAUAGCUCUGUUGUCAUUGUUUAUACAACCAUAGACAGUUAUAAUAUUUCCUGGUGUCUUCAAACGCGCCAUUUGUUUUCUAGGCUGUCCAUAAUUUGUUGAUUGCUACCACGCAACAAAUACUUAGAGUUUCUAAUGUCAACUGAAUACAUGAAAAUAUCCAUCAUAUGGAGUAGAUUUGAGUCUCUGUUAUUAAUAAACUAAUGGCACAUGAUUAGUUACAGUUAUGCGAGUUCACCUUUUUGAAAAUGUUACUUCGUGAAUGCUGAUGGCUACUAUGUUCAGUAAUAGCCUCCUGCGUGACUGACUGGGUUAAGGUUCAUAGUUGGAAGAAAUUAAAUUUGAAGACUUAGCCUUGAACCAAUAUGAUGGCUAUAACUUUUCAAUUAUGAAACCUUCUGAUUGCAAUUACUUUGUGGAAGAUUUAAACUGCUUUGUAACAAUCAAGCCUAUCUUCUAAACACUAUCCAAUGUGGCCAUGUUCUCAUGUUGAAAAUAUAAUUGAUUGGAAUAGAGGCUUUAGGAUUUAUGGCCGGUUUAAUGGUUUAUUAAUAUGCUGCAAUUGUGUAUUUUUAUUUUUGAACAGGAUGUCAUAGCAUGUGAUGUUAUAAAUCAGAUCACAUAGAUGUGGAAUUUGAAUCAAUUGGAGGAUUGGAAUCUAUCAAGCAAGCUUUGUAUGAACUGGUGAUUCUUCAUCUGCGGAAACCUGAGCUCUUCACACACAAAAAACUUCUUGGUCCACAAAAGGGUGUAUUGUUAUAUGGACCUCUCUGAUAAUUGAAGCAAGGUAGUACUUUGUGAACGUUCUUAACUAAGAUUGAACAUUCCUAACUUGUCCUUCUUGAAGAUCUUUAUUAGCAGCAAGAUUUUGUUGGAUGCUCUAUUAACUUUAAAAAACUGGGCACUGUGGCUUCCUUAUCUAAUGGAUCUUCCUCUGAUGAAUGAGAUUGCGAAAUGAUCACAAUUUUGGUAUUUUUGUUGUUGUGUGGUAUUUCUAUGUAUCCUACAUUAGGGAUAUAACAAAAGUAACUGAAUAGCAUACAUUCUGGCAAUUGUGAAAGUGGUCAUUACUGUAUUUAGCAACAACAUCUUUGUGUUGAAACCAUCCCUCAUUAUAUUCUUUUCUGCAUCUGAAUCCAUGCAAAUCUUGUUGGUUCGGUGCUGACUAGAAACAGAUUUAGAAGUAAUUAACUAAGUUUGCGUAGUUACUUUUUUGCUCCUAUCGAAGUUUUCAUAAUCUGAUUGGUGUUGAUUCUUUUCUAUGCUAUUGCAGUUGCUGUUGUUUUUGGCCUGGCUUAUAAACUCCAGCCUGCUUUUAUAUUAUUGAAGAGGUUGAUAGUUUUCCGGGGUAGGGUCGUACUACAAAUCAUGAGGCAUGAAACCUAAGUUCAUGGCAUUAUGGGAUGUGCUGACUACAGAUCGUGAGUUCUUACUCUUGAAACAAGUGCUGCAUUUGUGUAGUCUUUCAAUGCAGUGACUUGCUAGAAUCCCUUUCAUGUAAGAUUUGUGAAAGUGUGAUUUAUUCAUGGGCCUGGCUUGGCAAGACUCAGUGAUAAUAUUCUUACAGAGAAUGCACAAGUGAUGGUACUUGCUGCAACCAACUGAACUUCAGAACUCAAUGAAGCAAUCCUCCAACGUCUUCCUUAGGCCUUUGAAAUUGGGAUACUGAGAUCCUGAAGGUUGUUUUGAAAGGGGAGAAGAUCAAAAGCAAAAUUGACUUUGAUUGCAUAACAAGUUUGUGUGAGGGCUACACUGGUUCUCAUCUGUGAUUUGUUAUAAUCCCAGCUAAUUCUUAAAGGUAUUUUUAUUGAUUUGUAAUAUUUGCAUAAAAAUCCCAUGCAUGCCUGAGGGUGUCAUGGAAAAGUUUUUGUAAUUGUUGCCUGUUGUGUUCUAUCCAAAACCAAUGACUUCCAUUGCAAUGGAUAGAAGAUAGUAUGGUUCCUCAUGAGAACUAGAAGAAAUUAAACAAAUUGUUGUUAUGGACUAAAAGGGAUAGCUAUUGGUGUCAAAAAUAUUAUCUGGAGGAUUUUAUCUUUCCAUUGUUUGAGCUUGCUGUGGAUUUUUUUAAUCCUUUAUUGAGUUUCUACAUCGUGAUUCUUUCUCAGGCACCAAGGCCAUUGUCUGAGUCAGACUUGCAGGGAGUUCUUGGCACAUCAACUAAGACUACGGUUGCUGCAAAUGAGUACAGUAGGUCAAGCUCACAUUCACCUGGGUGGCCAGGCAGUCAGAUGACUAUCAGGUUCAAGCCACAACUAAUGAGCUCUCUAAACUCAUAGUAUCUCAAAUCUUGAAUCUUCAGUCGGAUAAUCAGGACCCUUGAAAUAUUCAUCUGUUUUUUCUUAAUAUGAAGCCAAGAGAAAUUGUAUUUUAAAUUAUUUUAAUGUUUUCCCUAUUCUGAAAUGUUCAAAGUAGAAUAUGUUGUUUUUAGGUGACUCAAAAUUGCAGAUUCGCUGUAGCAUAGAGCUCUUAACAUGGUAUUAAUACAUAUCUUUUCUUUUGCUUUAGAUAUAAACUUGCCAAUCACCAAUGUUGACUGAUUUUGUUGAUGAUUUGACUCUGUUUGUUACACUUUUUAGUAGUCAUGAAUGACUUAGAAGUUAUCAAAAUUAUUCUAUUUUGCUUGCGAAUAUUGCUGCUGUUGUGAGAACAGAAUUGUUUUAAUUCUUAUAAAUCUGUUCAUAAAAUUUACAAUACUCCAAGAAAGGGGGAUUGAUUUAAGUGAUCAAGAAUAAGGAAAUGAACGCAUAAAAAAGGACCCAAAACAUAAAUGAUUUUAUAGUUAACACAAACUAUUGCUUGCAUACAUGGAAUCUUUUUCAUAGAAGUAACACCUAAUUAACCUUGAAUGAAAAAGAAGAAGAAGAAGAAAGAAAGUAAAGGGAAUCCAAUACCAUGAAUCUGCCACCCUGGUGUUGUUUCAAUGUCAAAUCCACUUGAUAUCUUGUUUGUUCUGCAAAAUUAGAAAGGUAAGACUGAUCAAAUAAAUUGUGGAGAAAAUAUAGCCUAACAUAAACUAUGAACAUAAAAUUUGAAAACUCAAAUGCUUGCAAAACUUACUUGAAAAUAUCAAUUGCAUUAUUUAGUUUCUUCUAGCACCAUAUCUGGCAACAUUCUUCUUUGUUUUUUUGUUGUUGAGAUUCCAUUUAUCUUCAACCAUCCUAAGAAACCAUGCAGGUUUUUUUGUUCUAAACACAACAUAUCCCGUUGCAACUCCAAACACAAACCCAAAUCCAUACCCCAUUGUCACAGCUUUCCAACCAAAUCCUUCUCCAAACAAUGUUGAAUCAUCUCCCUCAUCAAAGCUUGAUGGCUGCAAUGAUGGUGCCUCAUCACGGUAGCAUUCUUCUAGUACUUGAAAUCCACAUAAACCCAAGUUUCCUUCAAAUGAGCUUGCAUUAAAGGUGCUGAAUUGCUGUCCACUUGGUAUGGGCCCCUUGAGUUGGUUAUGUGAAAGGUUUAGGAUGGCAAGAAAUGUUAGACCCUCCAGCUGCAUUGGAAUCCUUCCGGUAAGUAAAUUUGAAGAUAGAUCUAAUGACUCCAAAUUAGUCAAAAUUCCCAAUGAUGAUUGGAUAUGACCUGUAAGGGAAUUAUGAGAAAGGUUGAGCUGUUGGAGUGCUUUAAGCUUUCCGAUCACUUUUGGAAUCUCUCCGGUGAAAUUGUUAUUUGACAAAUCAAGUACUCUGAUGGUACUUUGUAUCUUUGGAAACUCAAUUUCUACACCUUUCCAUGUCAAAUCUAUGGAAUAGACAUAGCUAGAGUAACUUGUUGCAUUCAUGUAAAUCAUGUUUUGAUCCGAGGCCAUCAUUGCUUCAAGACUAUUGAAAUACCCAGUUGGCAAUGACCCACUAAAAUCAUUGUCAGAGAUGUCAAGAAUCCGUAAUGUAGAGAAGGAAUUAUGUGCAGUUGGACCCUUCACAAAACCUUGGAGUUUAUUGGAUUUUAGGACAAGAAUUUGCAGCUUUGGAAGCUUUUCUAGAAAGUAGGGAAAUGUAUCCUCAAUCUUAUUGUUGCCAAGAUCAAGAACUUCCAACAUUGCACAGUUGUUGAUAGACGAUGGUAUUUUCCCUUCGAAUUCAUUUCCAUUGAGGUUGAGAUAUUCCAAGCUAUUAUCCUUUGUAAAUGUUGAAGGGAUAAUGCCUUGAAGUUUGUUCAUGCCUAGAUGCAAUACUGAGAGCGAGUUGCUGAAGUUCCCCAAACAUAGUGGCGUAGAACCACUCAAGCUGUUGUUGGACAAGUCCAGGAGUAUAAGGAAUCUCAGCUUGCAAAUAGAAGAAGUAAUCUCACCUGUCAAUUUACUAGUGGACGCAAGAAUAAGGACUUCCAAGUUCUUUUGUUUGAAAAUCGAACUUGGGAUUGUACCAUGCAAGUGGUUAUUGCUCAAAUCAAGGUAAAUCAAUGAAUAGUGUUGGAGUUCACUUAUAUUCCCUAUGAGAUUAUUGUCAUGAAGGUCAAGAUAAUACAAAGAAGGAAGAGCAAACAAAAAGGAUGGUAUUGUUCCAUUGAACAAGUUACCAAAUAAACUUAGACCCACUAGAUUUGAAAGGGUUUUUAAUUGAGAAUGGAUAGGUCCUCCUAGUUGAUUAUUUGAUAAAUCUAAAUAUGAAAGAUUGACUAGGUUAGCCAAAGAAUCUGGAACUUGACCCAUAAAAUUAUUGGAAUAGAGAAUCAAGUAUUGAAGGUGUACAAGGUUUCCAAGUGACGAUGGGAUCUCACCGGUCAAAUUAUUACUUGAGAGGUCUAAAUAAACGAGCCGUGUGAGAUUAGCAAGCGGGGCUAGAUCUGACCUUAUAAUGUUACAAUCACGAAGAGACAUAUAUUCUAAUGACUUUAGAUUACUGAUUAAGUCGUUUUCUAAAUAAACUGAAAUUCUUGUAUUAGAAAGAUACAACCGAGAGAGGACAUUACUCAAAUUGGACGAAGGAAAAGAGCCAGCGAGGCCUUGGUUGUAUGACAGAUCCAGUGAUUCAAGGUUUGGGAGGUGAAAGAUGUUACCCGGGAAUUUCCCCUGCAAUCCACAACCAAGGAGCGAAAGAUAUGACAAAGAAGAGGACAGAUUGGUCAAGGAAUUAGGUGCAACCAAAGACAUAUUUACAGAGCUCAAAUCAAGUUCUCUAAGCUUGGUUAGGUUUCGAACAAGCUUGUCAAAUGAAAUUGGUUCUAGAUUCAAAUAGUUGUUCCAAGAGAAAUCAAGUGAAACCAACUCAGUGAGUUGCUCAAAAUCAUAUGGAAUUGAACCAGUAAGACUGUUCCUUCCAAGAUCCAAGUACUGCAGGUGCUUAAAUUUCCCCAUCGAGGAUGGGAGUUUUCCUUGCAAUCCACAGCCAAUGAGUUUGAGUGAUGACAGAGAAGAAGACAGAUUCAUCAAGGAAUCGGGAACAACUAGUGACAUGUUUACCCAACUCAGAUGGAGUUCUCUAAGCUUGGUUAGGUUUCGAACAAGCUUGUCAAAACAAAUUGGUUGUAGACUCAAAUUGUCAUUAUCAGAGAGAUCAAGUGAAACCAAUUUGGAGAGUUGAGAGAUUUCCAAUGGAACUUGGCCUGCAAGAUCUGAACCACUAAGGUUAAGAUGCGUCAGAUUGGAGAACUGGCCAAAUCCAGAAGAAAUAUGGGAGGUGUUGAAAUAAUUGAAAGAGAGGUCGAGCUUUUGAAGAUGAUGGAGAGAGAAGAGAGAAUUAUUAGAAUGCAGGGUUCCGUGAAGCAUGCUGCAAGAGAGGUCCAGUCCAGUGACAUGCCCGGUUUUCAGGUCACAAG